rnacentral:lncRNA from 1 species
AAGGAAGAGCUAAGCAAUCUUGCAAGGUUGGUUUUAGAUCACCCCACAUGUACUUGGCCAUUGUUAUCACUUUCCUGUAUGCUGAUCAUAUUAAUGUCUUUUAGGUGGUGGAAAGAACUAGACUUUGCUACAAAGUUACCUUUUGCACGAGACAGAUUGGUUGAAUGCUACUUUUGGAUGCUUGGGGUGUAUUUUGAGCCUCAAUACUUACGGGCUAGACGAAUUCUAACCAAAGUAAUUGCCAUGAUAUCCAUUCUAGAUGAUAUCCAUGAUGCAUAUGGCACACCUGAAGAACUCAAGCUCUUCAUAGAAGCCAUUGAGAGGUUUGCUCCUUGCACAUUACCAACCUUGAUUGUGUAUAAUAGAUGUAUUUAUAUAUACUUAAAUCAAGGAUCAUUAUUUUAUUUUCAGGUGGGAUAUUAACAGCAUAGAUCAGCUUCCAGAAUACAUGAAACUCUGCUAUGCGGCACUCUUAGAUGUGUACAAAGAAAUCGAGGAAGAGAUGGAGAAAGAAGGAAACCAAUAUCGGGUUCACUAUGCCAAAGAAGUAGUAGGACAUCUUUAACUCUGGAUCCCCACCUUUUUCAUUGAUGAUAUUUUAUAUGGUCUCAUAUAUACAUAGAUAUAACUUGGAUGAAUGUUCUUUAGAUGAAGAAUCAAGUUCGAGCUUACUUUGCUGAGGCCAAAUGGUUACAUGAAGAACACGUACCAACAUUUGAAGAGUACAUGCGUGUUGCACUAGUAAGCUCUGGAUACUGCAUACUUGCAACCACGUCCUUUGUGGGAAUGGGAGAAAUAGCAACAAAGGAGGCCUUUGAUUGGGUGACCAGCAAUCCUAAGAUUAUGUCAUCUUCAAAUUUCAUUGCGAGGCUCAUGGAUGACAUCAAAUCACAUAAGGUAUGAAGAAUAUAUGAUUCAAAUGGGGAGAAUAUAACACACUGGUUUUUUCUCAACUUUUGUAUUAUACAUGCAGUUUGAGCAAAAGAGAGGGCAUGUGGCCUCAGCUGUUGAAUGUUACAUGAAGCAAUAUGGUGUCUCUGAGGAACAAGUAUACAAAGAAUUUCAAAAGCAAAUUGAGAAUGCAUGGCUGGAUAUUAACCAGGAAUGCCUCAAACCUACUGCUGUUUCAAUGCCUCUCCUUGCUCGUAUUCUCAAUCUUACACGAGCCGCGGAUGUCGUUUACAAAGAGCAAGAUUCGUACACACAUGUUGGGAAAGUGAUGAGGGAUAACAUUGCGUCUGUCUUGAUCAACGCUGUAAUAUAACCAAAUGGAGUAGUUGAUUGCCUUGUGGAAGCCGUAAUAUCUAAUAAAUCACUAUAAAAGGAAAAAAGAAAAGAAAAAAGGUCCAAUUCAUACCUUAGCCGCCCCUAAUGGUUUGGGCUUUUGCGUGAAUAAAAACUAUUGUAAUAAUAUGGGAGAGACAUAUAAUGUUUCCUACUAGUUUCUCUCUCGGUUUGGUAGUGCUUUACAUCAUACUAUCACUUGGCUAAAUGUAUUAAUGUUGCUGCGUUGUAAAAACUCCAUCCUAAGAUGCAAACAUAACCAGGUUUGAUAUUGAUUUUCCUUUUCUAUUUCUUGCAUCCAUUUUAAUAUAUGUUUAAAACACUUUGAUCAAGUUUGACACUUUUCUAUUAUUCAAAGAUCACGUGAUGGAGAAAAUUCUCCAUAGAAAAUCACUUCUUGUAGAAAUGGUCUAGAACAUACAAAAGAGAUAAAAAAAUCUUAAGAAUUCAUCCUAACGGGUAAAAUAUUAUUAUUAUUAUUAUUAUUAGACAUGCUAAAAGUUUUAUUAUAUACCUGUUAAAAAUAAAAGUUAUGAUAUUAUAUGAGGUUGGAAUUUGAAGUUCAUUUGCAACUUUUUUUCUUCCUCGUUAUUUUUUUAAUAUACGUAAAGUAUUUUUUUUUAAAAAAAAGACUUACUAAAAGAAUUGUCAUGAGAAGGUUUUAUUUUUAUUUUUUAAUAAUAAGUUAAAAUAAAUUUGAAAAAAAAAAUAAAUUAAUAUUUUUUAACAUUUUAUUUUAAUAUUUAAUUUUGUGCAUGGAUAUGUCAUAAGAUUAGGUUACGUACAUAUAGUACAUGUAAUUAUAAACACUAAGGGAAAGUAGCUCAGGUGCAAAGUUGUCACCUCCCUUCCUACAUGCACUUUCAAGUUUUUUUCAGCAAGCUGAUGUAGCCACUUACGAGAUAAGAUUACCAUAAAUUGCAAAAAAUUAGUGAUGAAUAAAAAAAAAAUAACAAAAUGUCAUGAUUAAUCAAGAUAGAUUAUCAAAAUUUCAACAAAAAAUCAUUGAGUGAAAUUCUUUCAUAAUUUCCUAUACCAGUAAUAUUUCGAAUAUAUUAAUCACGAUUUCCAAGUUUACAAGUUUACCAUAUCUACAAAUUAACAUGUUGAAGAAGUUCGAGAAUAAUUUUUAGAGGAUUAUAAAUGUCUUUUAUUAUUAAAUUUACUUUACAAAUAGCCACAUGUUUAAUUAAGAGUAUAUUCUAAUGGUGCUGAAAACAAAUUAAGACAGGCUUCAAAUCAAAUGUACUUUGCAAUAAAGACUUUAGUGAAUGCAACUUCAAAUGACCAAUAAUGCACGGUAGCAGUACAUUAAUUUUGACUUCAAGGCAUUAAUUCGUAUUUUAUCCAUUACACAACAGAAUAUAUAUAAAUAUCCUUAUAAAAAAUAUAUAUGAUAUUUAUAGGUAACAGCUUUCUUCUUAAGCAAAGCAGCCAAGUAAGACUACAAAAUCUAUACCAAACAGAAUAUCUACUAGGACAAAUUUGGAUAAUUAUUUCCAACACUUAAAUUGAUUGGGCUUAGGUUAAAGUAUUCUUCAACUCCUAGUCAGUUUUAGUUGGGCUCUUACCAAGGUUGUGACAUCUCGAAUCUAACCAAAAGUUUAUAUAAUAUUUAUAUAAUAAUUAUAAUUUAUAUUAUUAUGGACUCAUGCACAUUUUUCACAUGUGCCUACUCAAUGAGGAUACUCAUUUAUUAUGAAAAAUGAUUAUUUGAAAACCCUUUUUAGGUUUUUUAGAGUGAACAUUUAUUUAAAAAAAAAAAAAAAACACAAUAAGAAAAAAAGAAGAGAAAAACCUUAUAUAACUCCUUAUUUGAAAAAAAGAAAAAGAAAAAAGACAAGUUCAUAAACCAAGAUUGAGUUAAAAGUCAAAUUACCUACUGAGAAAAUACGACGAUAAGUCAUACAAAACAACCCUCUAAGCUUAUAUACCUAUAAUCUUUACUAAGCAAAUGAACUGAAUUAUGACGAUUAAAUAAUUGAUUAUGGAUACUCAAGAAAAGAAAAACACAAUUAUAAAACAAGUCAUGGUGUUUGUUAUGUUACAAAAAUGUAAAAAAACAAAUGAUAAGAGAAUUUGCAUAAGUUGAUUUACGAAACUAAUUAAAAACAUGGGUUUAAUUAUUUCUAAAUUCAAAGGAUUAAAAAAGUUAUUUCAAUUUGAUGAUUUCAAUCGAUUUUAAGUACAAAAGAAAGUUUUGAUUUCAUUUUUUUUUUAAAGAAAAAAAUGCUUCAAAUUAUUCUAUUUAUAAAGAAAUGAUUUUUAUUUACUUUUUCUUAAAAAAAAAAAAUAUAAUUUACACAAAUUUUAUUUACCUUAACAUUCCUUUUUGAUUUUUAUGCAAAAGAGAAUACUUUUAUAAUUUUUGCUACAACAUGAUUUUUACAAUUUUAUUUUAAAAGAAAGUAUCCAAAUCUAAUCUUAUGUGCAAGAGAAUCUUUUUACAAAUUAUUUAGGAAAAGGAUUUUUAAAAAUUUAUUUACAAUUUUAUUUAAAAAAAUAUUUACAAAUUACUUUAAAAAAGAUUUGUACAAAUUUAUUAACAAAAAAUAAAUAUUCAGAUCCAAUUUUAUUUACAGAAAAAAAAAGAUUUUUUUUUAUAGUUUUUAUUGAAAAUAAGACUUUUACAAUUUUAUUUAAUUAGUAUGAAAAUCCAAUGUCAUUUUAUUAAUACUAGAAAAAAUUUAUUAUUAUUUUUAUUAAGACAUGAUUUUUAAAAUGUCAUUUACAAAAAAAAAAAAAAAAAAAAAAAGUUUACAAUUUUAUUUUAAAAAAUAUUUUGCAAUUUUUUUAAAAAAAAUGGUUUCAAUGUUUUAUUUAAAACAAAUUGCUUUUUAGAUUUUAUUUUAAAAAAUGAUUUUCACAAGUUAAAAAAAAAUUAUAGUUUUAUUUUUUUACAAAAAAUAAUGAAUUUCCAAAUGUAUUUAAAAUUUAUUUAAAAAUGGAUUUUAUAGUUUUAUUUAGAAAAACACUUUAUUGUUUUAUUUCAAUCUUAUUGUUUAUUUUUUUCUUUAAAAAAAAAAGUUCAAAUUUCUCUCUCUUUCUCCCUCUCUCUGUCCAUACGCUCAUUAAUUUUGAUGUUAAGGUAUCAGCCCAAUUGACAUGAUUUAUACUGACUUAGUCUUUUGGUCUAAUAGGUAACUUAAUGUAAUAUAGGAGGUCAUGAAGGUGAACUGUGAACCUUACUGAUAUUACGCAAACCCUACCAUUUAUUUAUAAUAUUGUUGUCAUAAUAUUGAAAUAUGGGAAAUUUUAAUAGACCAGACAGACACCAAUAGACCAAAGCCACCAAGCAAGAAUUGAAGAAACCAGAAAGCGUUUGUUCCAAACAUAGUAUACUGUAGAACAUGAAACAGAAGCUAGAGUAUACUAUCUUUAUUUGUGUCACAUAUAUCUCCACUCUCAUAUUGGCACAAGGUCUAUGAGCAGCAUUGAAAUAUUAUUUUUUGUCACUUCUCCAGGAUGUGUGAAUAUAUCAUUGUGGCUCUUGUACAUCACAUCUCCUGAUCGAGCAAAAUUGAGAAGACGACUAAGGAGAAGCAUUGGAACUGCAGUAGGUCUGAGGCACUCUUCAUUUAUAUCCUUCCAUGCAUUCUCGAUUUGUUUGUGAAACUCAUCAUAUGCUUGCUGCUCCGACACACCAUGUUGCUUCAUGUAACAUUCGAUGCUUGAUGCAAUAUGCUCUCCCUCUUGCUCAAAUUGCAGAAAUAGAUAGUAAUAGAAGGUGUUAAAAAGAAAUUGAUAUACAUUAGAUUUUCUUUAUCUUUAAGGGAUUGAUAUCCAAGUAUCAGUAGAAAGUGUUGUUUCAUUGUACCUUGUGGGAAGCCAUGUCAUCCAUGAGCCUAAUGAUUAUGUAGGUAGCUCUAACAAUCUUAGGGUUUUGUAGCAGCCAAUCAAAGACUUCCUUGGUUGCAGUCUCUCUCAUGCCAAUAAAAGACAUGAUUGUUAAUCUUCAAAUUGAUAAAUGGUAGUUUUUUCAUUCAUUCUUUCAUUCAUUCAUGUACAGAAUAUAUAUAGAGGGUAAUCACCAUUCUAAGAAUGUGAAAGAAUGAUACAAGGAAAUAAUGAUAUAAGGAAAUAACAACUAAUAUCCUAAUAUCUCAACAUUCUUAAUAUCUCUACUUUCCUAAUAUCUAAACAUUCCUAAUAUCUCAACACUGAAUGAUAUAAGAAAAGAAUGAUAUAAGGAAAACAUUCAUAAUAUCUCAACACUCCCCCUCAAGUUGGUGCAUAGAUGUCACACAUGCCCAACUUGUCUAAAAAAUUUGAGAACACUUGAUUUGAGACAGCUUUGGUGAGGACAUCGGCCAAUUGAUCUUUUGAUCAAAUCUUACGCAAUUCCACAAUCUUAUCAUCCAACUUUUCCUUAAUGAAAAAUCUAUCCACAUCGACAUGCUUUAUACGAUCAUGUUGUACUGGAUUAUGAGCAAUGUCACAUGCGACUUUAUUGUCACAAAACAAUCGGAUUGGUUGCCUAGAUAGGUAACCUAAAUCUUGUAAGAGGAGUCUUAGCCAUAAUGCCUCACAAAGUCCUAGAGCCAUACCUUUAAAUUCCGUUUCUACACUUAAACAAGCGACGACAUUCUGUUUCUUACUUUUCCAUGUCACAAGAUUACCACCUACAAAGGUAAAGUAACCAGAUAUAGAUCGCCUAUCAUCCACUGCACCGGCCCAAUCAGCAUUAAUAUAUACUUCUAUACUCUGAUGAUCAACAUUUUUAGCGAACAAAAUUCCCCUCCUAGGAGCAUUCUUCAAAUACCUCAAAAUACGCAUGACUGCAUUCAUAUGUUGCUCUCCAGGAUUAUGCAUGUAUUGACUCACUACACUCAAUGCAUAAGCAAGAUCUAGUAUUGUAUGAGCUAAGUACAUUAAUCUCCCCACAAGUCUCUGGUAUCUUCCCUUAUCGGUUGAUACUUGAUUAGGCUCAACACAUAAUUUCAGACCUUCUUCUAUUGGUGUAUUAAUAAGUUGACAUCCCGACAUUCUAGUCUCCUGUAAAAGAUCUAAAACAUACUUUCUUUGAGACAGAAAAAUUCCUUCACUUAAUCGAGAAACUUCAAUCCCAAGAAAGUAUUUCAGAGAACCUAAAUCUUUCAUUUCGAAUUCUAUAGAUAGAUAAUUUUGCAGAGCUUUUCUUUCUUUAGGAUCAUUUCCUUUAACUACCAUGUCAUCCACAUAUACAAUGAGUGUCAUAAUCUUACCAUGUUGCUUUUUCAGGAACAAAGUGUGAUUUGAAUUACUUUGACGAUAGCUAAAAGCUCUCAUUAACUUUGUGAACCUUCCAAACCAUGCUCUCGGGGAUUGCUUCAACCCAUACAAUAACUUCUUCAAUUUGCACACCUUCUGACAUUGCUUUUCUGACACCAUGCAUCCUGGUGGAAGAUCCAUAUAUACUUCUUCAGAUCACUCGCCAUACAGAAAGGCAUUUUUGAUAUCGAACUGUUGUAAUGGCCAAUCUAGGUUUGCAGCUAAAGACAGUAAUACUCGAACUGUGUUGAUCUUAGCUACAGGUGCAAAUGCCUCUGUGUAGUCAAUUCCAUAAAUUUGAGUGUACCCUUUUGCUACUAAUCUUGCUUUAUCGUUCAAUACUACCAUCUGCCUUGUACUUCACAGUAUAGAUCCAACGACACCUAACUGGUUUCUUUCCUGGUGGACAUUCUACAAGGUCCCUUGUUUCAUUCUUCUGCAAUGAUUUCAUCUCUUCAUUCAUGACUGCUUUCCACCUUGGAUUAGCUAAGGCUUCCUGCACACUGUUAGGAAUAGCUACAGUAGAUAAUUGAUUUACAAAUGACUUAUUUGAUUCAGACAAAUGAUGGUUAGACACAUAGUUGCUCAUGGGAUAUUUGACUUUGGUAGACAAUUUAGGUUCAUAUGUGGGUUUAGGAAUACCUCUAUUAUGACGGUAUGGUAACCGUUUCAUGAAUAGAUCAGGUUCCAAAUUAAGAACACCCUCAACAGACGAUGAUUGGUUUGGUAUUUCAGUGAAGACAUCUUCGGACCCAAAUUGUUGACCACUCAUAUCCAACUCACCCGCUUCCUGGUUCACUAGUUCAGAUUGUCCAGAUUCAUCCUCCUCAGAGAUAUGAUAAUCAUAAUUGAGAGUUUGAAUUUCCUUAUGGUACUCCCCCUGAAGUUCAGACUCAGAUGAAAAAUGCAUCAAAUCUUCAUGAAACACCGCAUCCAUUGUAAUAUACAUUCAUUGAGUUGGAGGAUGAUAACAUCAAUAUCCCUUUUUGUGUAAUGCAUAUCCAACAAACACACAUUGCAAUGCAUGGGAAGUUAACUUGGUGCAUUGGUGUUUGUGUAGAUGCACAAAUGCCACGCAACCAAAAACACGAGGAGGUAGAUUUGGGGUAGUUGGGACAACUACGACAUUAGUAAGAGCUUGGAGAGGUGUUUGGAAGUUAAUUGAGCUGGAAGGAAGUCGAUUGAUCAACUAUGCAGCAGAUGUGAUUGCUUCUCCCCAAUAAGAUAUCGAUGUUUUUGCUGCUAUCAAGUAAGCACAGACAACCUCUAACAAGUGCCGAUUUUUUCGUUCAGCACAACCUAAGCCUUACUCUUUCAAGGGAAUGUUCCUAAGUCCUAUUGGGGAGAAGUUGUUCUUACUACCACAUACAUGAUAAAUAGAAUUCCGUCACGAGUUUUAGACAACAAAAGCCUCGUAGAGAUACUUAAGAGUUUCUAUCCACACUUCAGAACCUCAAAUGGGCUCACUCCUAGGGUAUUUGGGUGCACUGCAUUUGUUCAUGUCCACAGCCAACAUAGAGACAAGCUAGACCCCCGAGUCAUAAAAAUUGUCUUUCUUGGUUACUCAUCCACUCAAAAAGGAUACAAGUGUUACAAUCCCACAACAAAAAUUUUUUACAUCUCUGCAGAUGUCACCUUCACAGAAAAUAAACCUUUUUUCCCAAAGUCCUAUUUUUAGGGGGAGAUUUCAAUGAUAGAAGAUAGUCCUGAGUCCUUUGAACCUCUUGACCUUCCUCAUGUCUCAACCCAUGGUGAUGAAAUACCUAAGUCAUCCGAGUCAAUCACACUUGAGUCACCCAAUUUUACCACUAAACCCGUGUCAUCUAAUGUUCCAGCCAGUGUCACUCACAAUUUUCCAUAGUUUCCUAAGGUGUAUUCAAGGGAAAAGGCCAUUCCAGAACAAAAGUAUGUCCAAAAAUCCAACUUAGACCCUGGGAAUGAAAUCACGCUAAGAUCAGACCCACCUUUACAUACACAACCUGGUGAAACUUCUACUAACUCAACCUAGACCUAGACCUUCCCAUUGCUAUCAGAAAAGGCACCAGAGAAUGCACUAAUUGACCACUCUAUCCACUAUCACACUAUGUGUCUCUUAAGCACCUAUCACUAGCCCACAAAAAUUUAAUUGUGAGUCUAAACACCACUAUCAUCCCUAACACUGUUUCUAAGGCAUUGACAAAAAGGGAAUGAAAUGAUGCUAUGAGAGAGGAGAUGAGUGCCUUAGAAAAGAAUAAAACAUGGGAGAUUGUUGAAAGACCGAAAGGGAAAAACAUUGUUGAUUGCAAGUGGAUUUUCACACUGAAAUAUAAGACUGAUGGAUCUCUUGAGAGACAUAAAGCAAGAUUAGUAGCCAAAGGGUACACUCAAACUUAUGGAGUAGAUUAUCAGGAGACUUUUGCUCCAGUUGCAAAAAUAAAUGCUAUAAGAAUCCUACUGUCAUUGGCUGCCCACUACAAUUUGGAACUCCUAUAGUAUGAUGUUAAGAAUGCAUUUCUUCAUGAUGAUUUAGAUGAAGAGAUUUACAUGAACAUCCCCCCGAGAUUUGAGGGAAACACGGGUAAUAAGGUGUGCAAGCUAAAAAAGGCCCUUUAUGGGCUAAAACAAUCUCCUAGGGCUUGGUUUGGGAGAUUUGCAAAAGUCAUGAAAGAGUCUGGGUACAAACAAAGCCAAGGUGACCACACUCUCUUCAUUAAGCACUCGGUUGCAGGGGGAGUAACUGCUCUUCUAGUCUAUGUUGAUGACAUCAUAGUGACUGGAAAUGAUGAGAGAGAAAAACAUGAAGUGAAGCAGAGAUUAGCAAUAAAGUUUGAAAUAAAGGAACUAGGGAAACUAAAGUACUUCCUUGGUAUUGAGGUGGCAUAUUCCACACAAGGGAUCUUCAUCUCUCAACAAAAAGUAUGUGAAUGAUUUAUUGGCAGAAACAGGGAAGAUUGGGUGUAAACCAGUGUCUACCCCAAUGGAUCCAAACCACAAGUUGGGAGAAGCUAAAGAAGAACUAGUGGUGGAUAAAGAAUGUACCAGAGGCUGGUUGGUAGGCUCAUAUACCUUGUUCACACUUGGCCAGACAUCGCCUACUCGGUGAGCAUGAUCAGUCAAUUCAUGCAUGCUACAAGAGAACCUCAUCUUCAAGCUGCUUAUAGGGUGCUGCAUUACUUGAAAGGCAACCUCGGGAAAGGAAUUUUGUUCAAGAAGAACAAUACUCUUGCUCUAGAGUAUACACUGACGCUGACUAUGCAAGUUCCUUAGUGGAUCGAAGAUCAACUACAGGGUAUUGUACUUUUCUUGGAGGUAAUUAGGUAACAUGGAGAAGUAAAAAGUAGAAUGUGGUAGCAAAAUCGUCUGUAGAAUCAAAGUUUAGGGUCAUUGCUCAAGGGUUGUGUGAACUACUUUGGCUGAAGAUUAUUCUAGAUGAUUUGAGAAUCAAGUGGGAUGGUCCUAUGAAACUCUAUUGUGAUAACAAGUCAACUAUCAAUAUUGCUCAUAACCCUAUACUACACGAUAGGACAAAACAAAAUAAGAUCGAUAGGCAUUUCAUCAAAGAAAAAUUGGAGAAAGGAGUAGUGUGUAUGUCCUAUGUUGCAUCAGAACAUCAAUUAGUUGAUAUCCUAACAAAAGGGCUGAACAGUUCAAUGUUUCACAGUCUUGUAUUCAAGCUGGGAAUGGAAGACAUCUAUUCCUCAGCUUGAGGGGGAGUGUUGAGCUAUAAAUAGAUAGGAGAAUUAUUUUCCUAUUAUGUUAGUUUCCUAUUUAUGUAAAUAGAUAGUUUUAUUAGUUUCCUAAUUCUGUAAAUAGAUAGUUUUAUUAGUUUUCUAUUUCUAUAAAUAGAUAGUUUUAUGAUUUAGGAAUAAAUUAGUUUUCUAUUAUGUCUCUUGUUUUCUAUUUCUUCUCUUGUAAUCUUCUAUAUAAACUGUGUGUAUGGUCAAUCUAAGAGACAAAAAUUAUUAUUUUCCAUCCCAUAUUUCGUAUCAAGAUGCAUGCCAUAAAAAUGGUAAGAUGAACAACAACAAGCCAAGCAACAAAAAAAAAAAAAAAAUGGAGUUUUUCCACCUUGUCCUCAUUGCAAGAAGACAAAUCAUUCUCCACAAAAAUGUUGGUGGAGACCAGAUGUGAAAUGCAACAAGUGUGGUAAACAAGGACAUGUGAAGAGGAUUUGCAAAAAUCAACAACAAAAAGAAACUAGUGCAACAAUUGACUAUUGUCAAGAGGAGCAAUUAUUUGCAGCAACGUGUUUUGCUAAUAAAAGCACCUCUGAAAGCUAGCUUGUGGAUAGUAGUUGUACAAACCACAUGACAAAUAAUCAAGAUCUCUUUAGAGAACUUGAUAGAACAACUAUUUCCAAAGUCAGAAUUGGAAAUGGUGAGUAUAUUCCAGUUAAGGGCAAAUGAACGGUUGCUAUCAAAAGCCAAAUAGGUUUGAAACUCAUUUAUGAUGUUUUGUUUAUGCUUGACGUUGACCAAAACUUACUCAGUGUUGGACAGCUCGUUGAGAAAUGAUUUAAAGUUUAUUUUGAAGAUAGGAAUUGCAUUAUCAAGGAUGUUGAAGGCAAAGAGGUGUUUAACAUAAAAAUGAAGGGCACGAGUUUUGCCUUGAAUUUACUAUAAGAUGAGCAUGCUGCUAUUUUACAACAAUAUAGCACAACAAUGCUUUGGCACAGAAGGCUUGGGCACUUUCAUCAUGAUGUUGUGCUCUACAUGAAGAAAAAUAAAAUAGCUGAAAGACUUCCCGACUUAGAAAAAGAUCUUCCUAUAACUGCUACUUGUCAAUAUGGGAAGCAAACUAAACUUUCCUUUCCAAAGAAAACAUCCUAGAGAGCAACCCAAAAAUUGCAACUAGUGCAUACUGAUAUUGGUGGACCUCAAAAGACGUCAUCCUUGAAAGGGAAUGUAGGCAUUGUUCACCAGCUCACUGCACCAUAUAAUCCACAACAAAAUGGAGUCGUAAAGAGAAAAAAUAGAACGAUUUUGGAGAUAACAAAAUGCCUUCUGCAUGAAAAAGAUCUACCUAAAGUUUUUUGGGCUGAAGCUACAAGUACAGUAGUAUAUUUGCUUAACAAAUUGCCAACAAAAACGUUAAAGAAGCAGACCCCUUUUGAAGUUUGGUUUGAGUUUCUACGUGGAAGACUUGGAGUUUGCAUCUACUAAGUCAAGAAGGAGUGUUGAAUUUUGACCUAGUAUCUACUAGAAUUUGAAUUUUGAAGUUAAAUAUUGCAGUUGGAGUCUUGCACAAAAUCUAUAACAUCCAAAUAUUUUCUUGUUUUUAUUUGGUCAAGAUUUGGUUUCUAUUUUAUAGGAAGUAGUUGUUCAUCAUCUAGUAGCUUGAUUUUAUGCUAUUCUAAUGUCAUUUCAGUUACAAGCUCAUGUAUAAAUUCAACACUCUUCAUCAAUAAAAUGUGUGUUCCAGCAACCCAAAAUAUAUAUUCUGCAUAAGUGUUUAAAUCUUAGACCAACACAUCCUCGUCACUAGUAGUUGUGCCUCUCAGGUUACCUUUUUUAUCUCUCAGCUCAGCUCCACCUUUGCUCUUCAUGAUCUUGGUUCCCUUUACUAUUUCUUUGGCAUUGGGGUUUCUCAUAGUACUGAUUCUCUUCAUCUCUGCCAACAAAAAUAUGUGAAUGACCUGCUCACUCGUACUGCCAUAACUGAUGCUAAACUUGUUCUUACAUUGGGUUCCUUGGCCAAACCUCUCUCUCUCACUGACGGUGAUCUACUUCAUAUCAUAACAUUGUUGGCGCAUUACAGUAUGUUACUGUUACAUGUCCAAACCUUUCUUUUGCAGUUAACAAGGUAUGCCAGUUUAUGGCUUCCCAACGACUACCCACUAGCUAGCUUUCAAGAAUAUAAAAAGUAGUUAAAAAUAAAAUAAAAAUAUAGACUUAAAAUAAAAAAUAAAUUAAAAAUGAAUAAUUAAAAAUUUUAAAAAUGAUAAAUAUUUUUUUUUUUUUUAAAGUUUUCAAAAAAAUCUCAGAUAUUUUCAGAUAUAUCGGCAAUGUAUCCGAUAUAUCUCUAAUAUUUUGAUAGACUUCCUCUAUUGCUUUGUGCGUCACUUCACACUCGAUUUUUUCGCCGAUUUAUCGAUUUCAAAUUAACCGAAAUAUCAACAUAUUUCGGGGAUUUUUCUGAUAUUCCUCCGUUCAAUAAUGUUGCUUAAUAUCCUUUUAGGGUAGUCCGAUAUCCGAUAUAUUGGCGAAAUAUCACCGAUAAAAACCGAUUUUUCAAUCCAUGCUUAAUAGUGGGUUUCCCUUUUGUUUGGCCUCUUGUAGACCCCCAUUUUGGGGCUCGGUUUUUUUUAUCUCUAUUUUCUUUGUAGGUGUCACCACCCCAGGGAGCCAUGCGUCGCCUCUUUGGUGGUUGAUAGGGAAUCAACAUUGCUUUUCGGGGACCUAUGGUAGGUUGACACGUGGAAGAAUAUUCUGGAGAGCUAAUUUCCGUUAUGGGGGAGCAUAUGAGAGAGGAUAUUCUGCAGGCAUUUUGAUUCUCACAUGUGCAUGAUCACUUUGAGUAUUCAUUGAUUUCCGCAUCAAUUGUCACAUCAGCUUCAUUUUAUUUGUAGAGACCCGACUUUAGGGACUUAGAGGGGUGCUACGGUCUUUACCGUACCUUCCCGAUAAGUAAUCUGACCCCCGAGCUCAAUCCAGUUUUUCACGGACCACCUUUUCCAAAUAAGGAGUCACACUUAGGGUUUUCUUUCUUAUUUUAUUUACCCUUUAAAAAUAAAACAAAAUUAAGUGGCGACUCCAAGUCAUUUUUCUUAAUCAGUAAAAUCAUUUUCAAAAUAAAAAUUGAGCUCGCCAUCGAGUGAAAAACGCAUUAGCUGAAAUGCGGGGUCCACACCUCUGUUUUUUUUAUAAAAAAAAAAAAAAAUCCUUUCCCAUUCUAUGGCCUUGAGUGAGCAUUACGUAUUUCAACUAUUUUGACAUGUUCAAAAUAAAAUACUAAGAAUUUAAAGGGAAUUUGUUCGACAAGUACUUUUUUUUUAACAUAUUUAUUUAUACAUUAUUUAGUUUAGGUUGCAUUAUUCUAUGUAAAUAAUUUAUUGGGUAUGGGAAUUAUUUUUAUAAAUGGCUGAGUAGAUUCAAUUUUAGAUAUUUAUUUAUUGAUCAUGAAAAAUAUUUAUUAAAACAUGGUUUAACAACCAUGCGAUGGAAUCAACCUAUUAAAAAAAAUAAACUAAUACUAUAUUAUUUUAACUUAAAUUAUUUCUUGAUGGUAGCAAUGUUGAAAAAACAAAUAUCAAUAAAGACUAAUCUUAACGAGAAAAUAGUAAUUAACAUAAUUUUAUAUUAACUUGUAAAAUUGGGUCAACAUAUAAAUAUAUUAAUUGUAACAAGAAGACCUACAUUGAUAAUGAAACGUCAAUAUUAGUCUAUAUUGCCAACUUUGAAAUAUUAAUAUAUGUAUAUAGCAUAUGUUUUCAUGAUUAGGAAUUAGAGAAAAUUUUGUAGAAGAUUUUUCCAAAUUUGAAAAUAACUAUGGAAGAAAUUCAACUUAAACACGUUUCUUUGUGGAAGAGUUGCAUGUCUACUCAAGUCUCAGCAUGUUCCCUAGCCCAAAUUUCUAAACCCAAAAAUCACCCUGUGGCAAGCUUGAAGGUAAUUCAAUGAAAAUAUGCUUAAAGCUCAACGGCUAAUUUACUUAUUUGGAAGUCAUUUUUCUCUAUGUGUUGGAUGAUAAAAUUUGUUGGUCUAGGUUACACGUUCCUGCAAAGAAGAGCAGACGGAGGAUCUGAAAAAUGAAUUGAAACUGGAAUUAAUACGUAGUGUUAUUAUAUAUCGAUGGAAAUUAGUUUAAAGUUGGAUAUAUUAAUACUUAGGAUGUUUGGUAAAACUUAAUACUUAUUAUUUAAUUAUUUGAGUUGACUUUAAAUUAAAUUAUACUUAAAUUACUUACUUAAAACUUAUUACUUUAAGUAUUAAGAUAUAAAAUUAACUUAAAGUUUAUUUAAAAUCAUUAAGUUGACAUAUUUAUUCUUAUAAAUUAUAAUUAGAAUAGAAAAAGUUGAGUUUAUAGAGUUGUAAAAGAGAUCAUGAAGGUAAUUAAGACAAAUAAAGAUAAAAAGAUAAAAUGAAAAUAUAAAAUUAAAAAUAAAUUAAUUAUUUUUACUUAUUAUUUAAAGUUAUUUUUUUUACUUUAAAUCAUAUUAUCAAGUUAUUUUAUUAAAUAUGCUUAAUUUACUUAAUGACUUAAAUUAAGUUAUUAAAUUAUUUUAAGUUAUUAAGUUGAUUUAUCAAAUUUCUACUUAUUGAAUACAAAUAUAGAAGGAAAUUAGGAAAGCAAAGUAGAUGGGUUAUUAGGUGAAAGCUUAUCAAAUCCGCCUAUCAACAUAUCACACUUUUACCAAAAACCCACCUCAUGCCAAGCCUAUAAGUUGUCAAGUCCUUAUGAUCCAACAACUUUCUUAUGGUUCCCACACGGAUUUCUAUUGUUAUCAAAACAAAAAGUUUAUAAUAAAAUAUAUAUAUAUAUAUAUAUAUAUAUAUAUAUAUAUAUAUAUAUUAUAAUUCAUAAAUAAUCUGACAAUUAAAUAAAAAGAUAAACUCAUUUGUGGAAUAUAAUUAAUAAAAAAAAAAGAGAAGUGUUAAGAGUUUUAAAUUAUUAUUAUUUUAUAUUUUUUAUAUUUUAAAUAAAUAUAAUUAAAAUAAUGGAUAAAAAAUGUGCACUUUGUACCUUCAACCUAUAAGAGUUGUAAUAUUUUCAAGUUGGUAUUCUUUAACAUAAGUCAAAUUCUAACUUAUUCAACUUUGACAAUUUUAACCUAAUCCUCAUAUUGGUACAAAUUAGACUAUUCUACCUUAUUUAAGUUUUAGUCCUAAAAAAAUCAUGAGAAUUAUGGACCGAAUGAUGUAUAUUAAAUUUCUAAGAUUCAUAUUUUAAAAUUAAUAAAAUUGAAGUAUUUUCCUUCUGGAGAUUAUUUAUUAUGAUUUAUCUUUACUUUAAUUAAUUAAUUAAUAUAUAUAUAUAUAUAUAUAUAUAUAUUUCAUUGGUAGAAUUGUCCUUAAUGGCCUUUGUACAUAGAGUACAUUCCUGGUCAUAAGAAUACGUGUCAAAUAUAAAUAUGCUUUUCAAAUUUAAUCAUUCUUAUUAUAAGUUUAUUAUUAUUAUUAUUAUUUUAUUAUAUACCUUGUAAAAAUAAAAGUUAUGAUCUUACGUAAGGUCGCAAUUUGAAGUUCAAGUUCAUUAAACUGUGCAGAGUUUAGCUUUCUAUAUAUAUAUAUAAAGAAUCAAUUCCAUCAAUUCAUUAUUUUUUAAGAAUUGAAAAUUACAUAAAUAUUGAUGGUUAUAUUUUACAAAAACAUUGAAACAAAACAAUAAUAUAUUAUUAAAGUUGUUUUACUAAAUAAAAUAAUAUAAUCAUCGUUAUAUAUAUUCUUGUACUUUGUUUAUUAACAAUUUUAUUAUAUUUUCAUUUUAACUUAAGAUAAAGACAAAGGGUUGAAUUGAAAAUUUUAAUUUGCAUAAUUUAAUUAAUUUGAAAAGAAUUUUAAAUUGAGAAUUUGAAAAACAAAUUCCAAAUAAUAAAAAUAAUUUGGAAAUGAAUUUUAAAUUAAGGAUUUAAAAUUUAAAAUUUGCAAAAGGAAAUUUUUUAUAAAUCUUUUCUAAUUUUAAAUAUGAAAUAUUUCCAAAUCUUUUUAAAACUCUUAAGUUUCUAAAUUGUUUUUCAUAAAAUAUAAUCUUUAAAUUAAUUGCAACUAUAUAAAGUUUUCUCCUAUAUAUAUCCUACCUAAAUGUAUAUUUGAUGACGGUCUGACUUGUUUUUCUAUUCUUAAUCUCUAAAGAAAGAAUUCAUUACAAGUACCUACAUCCCCUCAGAAGCUUAGAGGAGUUAGAGCAUUUGGAGGUACUACAUUGUGGAUGUGGAUUAAGGUGUAGGUUCUAGCUAGUGAAUCAUUAAGGUAAAACGGUUAUUAAAUAUGUGUACUUUAAUUUCAAAUAGUGGAUUAUAAAUUAGAGGUUUUAAAUCUUGUGAUUUUUUAUGCCCACAAUUAGCAUUGAUAUUUUCAAAUUAAAAUUUCUUGUGUCCCUUAUUUGAUUAUUUUUAUUAUUUUGAUUAUCCCUAUUAUCUCUUAGUUUAAAUUGAGUUAAUAUUAUUUAACUCUUAUAUUAUUUUCUUUAAAAAUCACCCCACUCUCAAUGUCAUCCUCUUGGACAAAAGCGUGUAUAUAUAUAUAUAUAAUUCACAAAUCUUGAAAAUAUAUUUAAUAUUAAAAUAUCAUUCCAUGUAAUUUGGAAGUAUUCAAAGAUGUAAAAGAUAUGAUAAUAUAUGUAUAAUUAUUUUUUAUUUAAAAAUAUUAAUAAUUACAUUUGCAACUUUAUUUUGUCCUCAUUAUUUAAUUAAUAUACAAAAAGAUAUGGGAAUAGAAUUAUCAAAAGAAUUGUCAUAAUAAAGCUUUAUAUUCUUCAUAAUAAGUUAAAUUAAGGUGAUAUUUAUUUAUUUUACUUAAAUCUAAAUAAAAAUUAAUUUAACUUAAUUGUAAAUAUAACUUAAUAGAAUUAAUUAUUAUAUUUUUUUGUUUUUUAUAAUUUUAUUUUUGUUAAGCGUUAAAUAUUAAUUGGGUGAGAGUCCUACUAAGGUUGUGCUUUGACUUAUUCAAAAAAUUAUUUUUAGUAAUGAGCAAAAAGUUAAAUAUUUUACUUUUAUCUAUUCAUUAAAAAAAUCUUAAAAAUUAAUUUUUUUUUUGUUUUAUUUAAAAUAGUGAAUGGAGUUUGAGUCGAAUUUUAAUUAUUUGGUAAAAUAAUAAAAUUAGUUUUUUAUUUAAAAGAAAAAAUAAAGGUAAGUCAAAGAUAUAAAGAUAAUUAUUUUAUUUUAAAUAAGAAAGAUUCAAAUAAAUAAAAAAAGAAAAAGUUAAUGAGCUACAAAUUUUAGGAUUAAUUGAUUAAAAUGGGUGAAAAUAUCUCAAAUUUGUAAAACUAAUCUCUUCCAUUUUUUAACUUAAAGAGUAACACUUGUUUGACAUAAAUACCCUUCAACAUUUUCAUUAUUUACAUAUGUAUUUUAAAAGAAAAUGUAAUUUUUGUAAGAAAAAAGUGAGAGUAUUCUUAUGUAUUUUUUGGAUGAAAAAAAAUGGUUUGCAAUUUGAUAUUUCUUUUGUCCUUUUUAAUCGGUUAUCCCCAAAUUUUUUUUACGGAAAAUACAAAUUCUAAAAAUAUUUGGUUUUAUUGCUAUUUUUAAAUUUAAAUAUAUUUUUACCUUAAUUAUAUUUUUAUUUCAAAAUAAUUGAUGAUGAUUUAGUUGAAUUCUAACAUUUAAUGGAGUUUUAGUUGAAUUCUAACACUAUAAUAUAAAGUGACCCGAUAAAAUUAUAAAAUCAAUUUUAUUUAAAAAUAAAUAAAGUUGAGUUAAAAAUAGUAUUAAAUAAAUUAAAUUUUAAAAAUAAAAUUUAAUAGUUUUACCUUAAAUAAAAAAUAUUAAAAGAAAAAAUAAUUAGAUAGAUAGGCUUUAAAUUUUAUUAAGAGAAACAUAAAUUUUUUUUUUUAAAAUUGUUUUUAUUUAUUUUCAAUUUUAAAAUUUUAUUUCUAUUUUUUAUUUAAAUGUAUUUUCAAAUUUUAUCUAAAAAUAGUUAAUAGAGUUUUGGUUGAAUUUUAAGACUAUAAGAUAAGCGAAUAGUUGAAAUUAUAAAAUGAAAUUUUUUAUUAAAAUGAAAAGAAAGUUAAGUUAAAGAUACUAUAAAUUAUGAUUAGAAGAAUGAAAAUCAAUAUAAAAAAAAAAAUGGUUUUAUCUUAAAUUAGAAAUAUUUAAAAAAAAAAAGAAUAAUGUAUUGAAAAAUAUAACUUUGUGGUAGAAGAGCAAUGACUAUGCUCUUUUGAAUACCCUAGUUUAUGUUCAUUUUUUAAAAUUUAAAAAGAAUAAACAUCUUUUAGAUAUUAACAAAAAUAAAUUUAAAUAGAUUCUUUAACAUAAAACCUAAAAAACAUUUGUUGUUGGCCAAAAAAUCCAACUAUGAGCCCUUUUAUGACAAGUGAAACUUCCAAAUCUUCUGAAGAGUUUUUUAUCUUAGUAUUAAAAUCUAAAAGCAGAAUAUUUAUACUAUGAGUUGUCUUUUUAACAACUAAUUUAUUUUAUUAAAUGUAAUAAUAUACAUUAAUAUGUUGUAAAUGAAAAGUAAUGAAUGACCACAUUGAUGGCCAUUAUGAACUCCAUUUACUCAUCUUUAAGAUGAGUAAUGGGAGUUCAUAUUAUGAAGCCUAUAAAAGGCUUCUUACCCCCCCAUGUAAAAGGAUCCCGAGAAAAGAAAGAAAGUUCUUCCUCUCAUUCUCUCUCUCUCUCUUUCUUUCACUUUCUCGAUUCUCUUAUUUGAUUCCUUCUUCCAUAUUAUAUAUCAAAGUAAGAUAUAUUUUAUCUCUACUACUUUGAUUUGCAUUAUAUUUGUCCUUGUUUUACAACACGUUAUCAGCACGAAUUGCUCUGAAGGUAAUUCUCGUAUCUUAAACUUGAAGUUAUUUAUAUAAAAUAAAAUUUUACAUAUUUAUAUUAUUGUUGAUUUGUUUUGUUACAUAUUGUUAAAAGUUAUAAACAAAUUAUUUGAUUUUGUUUAUAAUCAAAGUUAUACCAAUGCUAUCAAGUUAUUAUAACUGAUUUUAAUAAUAUUGUUUUGUCAUAUAUAUGAAGUUAUUUGACAAUGUCGAAUAUUACAAAACUCGAAUUUGUGGCACUUGACAUUUCGGGAAAGAACUAUCUAUCUUGGAUCCUUGAUGCUGAAUUACAUCUUGAUGCAAUGAACCUUGGAGCUACGAUCAAACAAGGAAAUCAAGCAUCCCUGCAGGAUCGCGCAAAAGCAUUGAUUUUCCUUCAUCAUCACCUCCAUGAAGGUUUAAAAAAUGAGUAUCUUACGGUAAAGGACCCUUUUACUCUAUGGAGUAAUUUGAAAGAAAGAUAUGACCACUAGAAAACUGUGAUUCUCCCAAAAGCUCGAUAUGAUUGGAUGCACCUAAGGUUGCAAGAUUUUAAAACUGUUAGUGAAUACAACUCUGCACUUUUCAAAAUCAGCUCUCAAUUAAAGCUGUGUGGAGAAAAAAUCACAGAGGAAGACAUGUUAGAGAAAACUUUUACUACGUUUCAUGCCUCGAAUGUGCUCCUGCAGCAGUAAUAUCGAGAGCGUAGAUUUACAAAAUAUUCUGAAUUAAUAUCAUGUCUUCUUGUUGCUGAACAAAAUAAUGAGCUUUUGAUGAGAAAUCACCAGUCUCGUCCAACUGGAUCUGAACCAUUCCCUGAAGUGAAUGCAAUAUCGUCCCAAACUCGUGGACGUGGACGAGGACGAGGACGUGGUCGUGGUCAUGGAAGAAAUCCUCGAUACCAUGGUUCUUAUAGUAAUAAUUCUCAUAAAAUGAAAGCCUCAUUGCACCACCAGAAGUGGAACAAUACUGAGACAAUACAAGAAAAUGGGAAGCGUUUACAAGAUAAACCUCCUAAGAACCAUGAGAAUAAUUGUUAUAUAUGUGGUAUGAAGGGGCAUUGGUCGCGUACCUGUCGUACGCCCAAACAUUUGGUCGACCUUUACCAAGCAUCAAUAAAAGCUAAAGGAAAAGAGAUAGAGAUGAACUUUACCGAUGGUGAUGGAUUGGACCUAACCUACUAUGACAUUGAUUUCUUUGGAGGUCCCAAUGAAAAACCAGACCAUUUGAUAAAUGAUGAAAAAAUUAACAUUGAUUGAUGUUACUCUAUAUAUACAAUAAUAUAUUAUUAUGUCUUAUAUUUACAUCUGAUUUACUUUGUUAUUUACAUUAUGCCUUUUUUUUUGUUAUAUCUGAAAUCCAUGUGUUAUUUGGUCUCAAGAUGAAUGAGGAUGAUGUAUGUCUCGCAGACUGUGCGACCACGCACACAAUUCUUCAAGAUAAAAGAUAUUUCCUUGAAUUGACAUUAAUAAAAGCUAAUGUAAGUACCAUAUCUGGUACUACAAACUUAGUUGAAGGCUCUGGAAGAGCAAACAUAACAUUGCCAAAUGGAACUAGAUUCCAUAUAAAUGACGCGUUAUAUUCUAGCAAAUCCAGAAGAAAUUUGCUCAGUUUUAAAGAUAUCCGCAGAAAUGGAUAUCAUAUUGAAACUAUGAAUGAAGAUAAUGUAGAAUAUCUUUACAUUACUUCCAUUAUAUCUGGCCAGAAGCUUAUAAUGGAAAAAUUGCCGGCUUUUUCCUCUGGGUUGUAUCAUACAACUAUAAAGCCUAUUGAAUCAUAUGUUGUCGUGAACCAGAAGUUCAACGACCCAAAAGUUUUUGUCCUUUGNNNNNNNNNNNNNNNNNNNNNNNUGGUCACAUGUUUGUCUCCUUUCUACACGUAACGUAGCCUUUGCUAGACUCCUUGCACAAAUAAUCAGAUUACGAGCACAAUUUCCAGAUUAUCCAAUUAAGACAAUACGUCUUGAUAAUGCUGGCGAAUUUACUUCUCAAACAUUCAUUAACUAUUGCAUGUCAGUAGGGAUAAAUAUUGAGCAUCCUGUUGCUCAUACUCAUACCCAGAAUGGUUUAGCAGAAUCCUUCAUCAAACGUCUCCAAUUAAUAGCUCGACCAUUACUAAUGAAAACCAAAUUACCUACUUCCGCCUAGGGACAUGCUAUUAUGCAUGCUGCAGCUUUAGUCCGUAUUCGACCUUCAACUUACCAUGAAUACUCCCCUUCACAACUUGUGCUUGGAAAACAACCAAAUAUCUCUCACUUACGAAUCUUUGGUUGUGCAGUAUAUGUACCAAUUGCACCUACACAACGCACUAAAAUGGGUCCCCAACGAAGACUUGGGGUUUAUGUAGGUUUUGAUUCUCCAUCUAUCAUAAGAUAUCUUGAACCUUUGACUGGAGAUGUUUUUACAGCCCGCUUUGCAGAUUGUCAUUUUAAUGAGAGUGUUUUCCCAUCAUUAGGGAGAGAAAAGUCGAUUCUUGAAGAACGACGAGAAAUUAGUUGGAAGACAUCUACUAUGACCCAUCUUGAUUCUCGUACAAAUCAAUGUGAACUAGAAGUUCAAAGGAUCAUUCAUUUGCAAAAUCUUGCAAAUCAAUUACCAGAUGCAUUCAUUGAUACAAAGAAAGUGACAAAGUCACAUAUCCCGGCUGCAAAUACUCCAGCACAGAUUGAUGUCCCUGUAGGACAGUUAACAAAUGAAUCUAAGAUACGCCUGAAGCGUGGUAGACCUGUCGGCUCAAAGGAUGUAACUCCCCGGAAGAGGAGAACCCAAGAAAAACUUGGCACUCUAGAAGAUGCCAUCAAAAUGACUGAUCAGUUUAAAAUUGAUAAAUCUAUAGCCCUAGAAGAGGCACAAAUAAUGCAGAAAGCCCCUGAAGAGGUAAAUAUUGAACAAGAAGCCCCCGAAGAGGCACAUAUUGAACAAGAAACCCCUGAAGAUCCACAUAUUGAACGAGAAGCCCCUGAAGAGGCACAGGUACCUGAAAAUUGUGAGAUCUCAGUAAGUUAUGUACAAACGGGAGAAAAAUGGGAUUGAAAUAAUAUUGUUAUUAACAAUAUUUUUGCUUUCCAAGUGACCUUUGAUAUCAUAAGAAAUGAUGAAGAUCCCGAACCACGAAAUGUGGAAGAAUGUCGACAUAGAAAUGAUUGGCCAAAAUGGAAAGAAGCUAUACAGGCAGAAUUAAACUCAUUAACAAAACGAGAAGUUUUUGGACCUGUAGUCCAAACACCUGAAGAUGUAAAGCCUGUUGGGUACAAAUGGGUAUUUGUACGAAAGCGCAAUGAGAAUAAUGAGAUCAUAAGAUAUAAAGCGCGAUUAGUGGCACAAGGUUUCUCGCAGAGACCUGGUAUUGACUACGAGGAAACAUAUUCUCCCGUCAUGGACGUAAUCACAUUUCGUUUCUUAAUUAGUUUGGCAGUCUCAAAAGGACUGGAUAUGCGUCUCAUGGAUGUUAUUACAUCAUAUUUAUACGGAUCCAUGGAUAAUGAUAUAUACAUGAAAAUCCCCAAAGGAUUUAAAUUGCCUGAUGCAAAUAAUACAAAGCCUCGUAGCAUGUACUCAAUCAAGUUACAACGAUCCUUGUAUGGAUUAAAGCAAUCUGGACGCAUGUGGUACAAUCGCCUUAGUGAAUACUUGCUAAAAGAAGGGUAUGUGAAUAACCCUAUAUGCCCAUGCAUCUUCAUUAAGAAAUCAGAAACCGGAUUUGCAAUUAUUGCAGUGUAUGUGGAUAACUUAAAUCUUGUUGGAACUCCUGAAGAGCUCACAAGAACAACAAAUUACUUGAAAAAGGAAUUUGAGAUGAAAGAUCUUGGAAAAACAAAAUUUUGUCUCGGCCUGCAGAUCGAGCAUUUUCCAAAUGGAAUUUUAGUACAUCAAUCAACAUACAUUAAGAAAGUUUUGAAGCGUUUUUAUAUGGAUAAAGCGCAUCCUUUAAGUUCUCCAAUGGUUGUCUGAUCACUUGAUGUGAAAAAAGACCCAUUUCGUCCUUGCGAAAAGGAUGAAGAGUUGCUUGGUCCUGAAGUACCAUAUCUUAGUGCUAUUGGUGCACUUAUGUAUCUUGCCAAUUGUACACGUCCAGACAUUGCUUUUUCUGUCAAUUUAUUAGCAAGAUACAGUUCCGCUCCAACUCGAAGACAUUGGAAUGGUAUCAAACAUAUAUUACGUUAUCUUCGCGGAACUACUGAUAUGGGUUUAUUUUACUCAAGGGAAUCAAAGCAACAAUUGCUUGGAUAUGCAGAUGCAGGAUAUCUUUCAGAUCCACAUAAAGGCAGGUCACAAACAGGGUAUGUGUUUAAUUGUAAUGGUACUGCUAUUUCAUGGAGAUCUGUCAAACAAACAAUGGUAGCCACAUCAUCAAAUCAUUCAGAAAUACUGGCAAUUCAUGAAGCAAGUCGUGAAUGUAUAUGGCUAAGAUCUAUGAUCCAACAUAUUCGGGAAUCAUGUGGACUCUCCUCUAUCAAAGGUGACCCGACAACAUUAUUUGAAGAUAAUGUUGCAUGCAUUGCACAAAUAACAGGGGGUUAUAUUAAAGGAGAUAGAACAAAACACAUUUCACCAAAAUUCUUUUAUACACAUGAACUCCAGAAGAGUGGUGAAAUUGAUGUGCAACAAAUACGCUCAAGUGAUAAUCUAGCAGAUUUAUUCACAAAAUCAUUGCCAACUUCAACAUUCAAGAAGUUAAUACACAGGAUUGGAAUGCGUCAACUCAAGGAUAUCGACAUGAGGGGGAGUAUGCUUGUAAAAGGGUGUUAGUGUACUAUACUCUUUUUUUCCUUCGUCCAGGUUUUGUCCUACUGAGUUUUACUGGCAAGGUUUUUAACGAGGCAGUCCUAAUAUGCCAAGAAAAGAAUAUUGUACUCUUUUUCCUUCGCUAGGUUUUUCCUAUAGGGUUUUUUACUAGCAAGGUUUUAAUGAGGCAUAUUCUUUUAAUAUGGUGGUCAUCCAAGGGGGAGUGUUGUAAAUGAAAAGUAAUGAAUGACCACAUUGAUGGCCAUUAUGAACUCCAUUUACUCAUCUUUAAGAUGAGUAAUGGGAGUUCAUAUUAUGAAGCCUAUAAAAGGCUUCUUACCCCCCAUGUAAAAGGAUCCCGAGAAAAGAAAGAAAACUCUUCCUCUCAUUCUCUCUCUCUCUCUUUCUUUCACUUUCUCAAUUCUCUUAUUUGAUUCCUUCUUCCAUAUUAUAUAUCAAAGUAAGAUAUAUUUUAUCUCUACUACUUUGAUUUGCAUUAUAUUUGUCCUUGUUUUACAACAAUAAAUUAUAGUUGAGUUUUUUUUUAAAAAAAAAUUGGCAUAUGCUUGUAUUACUUUGUUAGCUUGGAGGACGAAAAGCCUAUACAAAUAAUGAGUUGAAUGAAAUAAGAAGCGAGUAAAUUACAUGUAUCAAUGAAAUUGUAAUUUUUAGAUUACAGAAAUGAGUACAUGCAUUAAUAUAUAUGAAAAUAUAUAGUGAUUAUGAGAUUUGAGAAUCUAUUUAUUUUGAAUGAUGGGAAUUAAACUUCGUAAAAUUUCAAUGUAGAUCGGAAGUAAAUUUUUUUGUUACUUGAAAUAUUCACAACUUCUUUCCUGUAGUGAUGUUAUUUUGUAAUAGAACUUCCCUGGACAAUCGUUUUCAUGACUGGGAAUUGAAUUAGAGAAAAUUUUGUAGAAGAUUUUUUCAAAUUUGGAAAAAUCGCAUGUAGAAGAGUUGAAUUGGCAAGGAAAUCUACACACUCGUUGAACAGUCUAGGCCCACUUUUCCAAUCAGCCUAGCACGUUUUUUUGAAUUGAAUAACCACGGAUUGAUAUUGAUUGGAUCCAUUAUCAGUCAUUCAAUCCUAAAGCAUUCAUUUGUCAAACUCCAAGGAAUAUAGGUUUGGCCGAGUGAACAUUUCAAUACUAAACUUGUCCAAAUACAUUAAUUUGAUAUUUUUAGUAAAUAUGAUGCGCAAAAUGAAACCUACUUGGUCGAUAAUGACCUAGUGGUUAGGGCAAUCCCUCAAAAUUCAUAAAAAAAGAAGAUGCAAAUAGAAUCAAAUAGUAGUUCUUAUGUUAUUUUUUCAAAAAAUAGUUAUCGAGUCUGGAAAUGGGUAUUUUUCAUUUACGAAGCUUAAUCCUAUGGGAUUUAAUUUUCAUCGACUAGGAGAAUAAUUUGAUCCUAGCCACACCUAAUGUUAACGACUUGUUUAGGUAUUUUGAGUGAAGAGGACAACGGUUCCACACCGUGGGCCCCAAAACUGAACCAAAUCCCUCAUACUAUUCAACUACAUACUACCACUGCAUGCCAAGCCGUCUCUCUCAUACUUACCAAUUCUUUCUCUAGUCCAGAUUCUUAAACCCCAACAUUUGGGGUGACCAAUUUAUUACCUACACUCCCGAAGAAAGUUAAUUCAAUGAAAUUAUGUUUAUAUACUUAUUUGGAAGUUAUUUUUCUUAGGAUGAUAAAAUUUGCUGGUCUAGGUUACAAGUGCCUACAAAGAGGAGCAGAUUGAGGAUCUGAAAAAUGAAUUGAAAAUGGAAUUAUACAUGGUGUUGACUAUAAGAAUUUCAGUGGAUUCAAAAAGCCCCAAUUUAUACCUUAGCCGCCCCUAAUAGUUUCGGCUCUUGCUUCAUAAAUUUAGCCAAGGGACUCAUGAAAAAACUUUUUCUUUCACGUCAUCAAUCCCUUUCAUACACUACUUUCAACGUUUUUAUUUUACAUUAUCUUCAACAAUAGAACAUUUAGAAUAUCCUCUUGCGGAACAAGUUGCUCAUGCACUAAAGCAGCCCAUUAGAAAAGGUUUAGAGAGGCUAGAGGCAAGGUGGUAUAUGUCUAUCUACCAGGAUGAAACUUCGCAUGACACAACUUUACUAAAGCUGGCCAAGUUAGAUUUCAAUCUAGUGCAGUCCCUACACAAGGAGGAGCUAAGCAAUAUUGCUAGGUUUGCUUUCAAAUCACUAGCAGAUAUACCUAGUCACCUUCUCAUUUUACCAUGAGCUAAUUGUUUUAAUGAAUUUUAGGUGGUGGAAAGAAUUAGACUUUGCUACAAAGCUACCUUUUGCGAGAGAUAGAUUGGUGGAAGGCUACUUUUGGAUACUUGGGGUGUACUUUGAGCCUCAAUAUGUCCGGGCUAGACGAAUUCUAACCAAAACAAUUUCCAUGACAUCCAUUAUAGAUGAUAUAUAUGACGCAUAUGGCACAUUUGAAGAACUCGAGCUCUUCACCGAGGCCAUUGAGAGGUUUGAUUGAUGCAAAUUACCAACCUUCAUCAUUUAUACUGUAUGUGAUACUUAAAUCAAGCCUGGUUUUAUUUUCAGGUGGGAUAUUAAUAGCAUAGAUCACCUUCCAGAAUACAUGAAACACUGCUAUGUGGCACUCUUAGAUGUGUACAAAGAAAUUGAGGAAGAGAUGGAGAAAAAAGGAAACCAAUAUCGGGUUCAAUAUGCGAUAGAAGCGGUAGGACAUUCUGCAUCGACUUUGUUUUGUAUAGUAACAUAUCGUAAGGAUAUAGAUGUAACCUGAUUGAAUGUUUGACAGAUGAAAAACCUAGUUAGAGCUUAAUUUCAUGAGGCUAAAUGGUUCCAUGAAGGACGCAUACCAACAAUGGAAGAGUAUAUGAUAAUAAUAGGUUUAUCUUAGGGAAUCAAUAAUUAUUUUUGUAUGUUAUAAAGAUUACAUUUAUACUUGAAUUAUUUUUAAUUUAUUAUAUCAUAUAAAUUUUUUAUCUUAUAAUAUUGUAAAUUUUAAUUAUAUUAGGAAAUCAAUGAAUGCUUUUAUAACUAUUUAAAUGAUGUUAGUUAUGAGAUAAUUUUAUUUUAUUAUUGUUUUUUUACCUUAUUUACUUGUACCUAUUUUUUAAUAAUUUACAUAAUAUUUUUAUAAUUUUUAAAAUUUUCUAAUUAUCAUAUUUUUUUGUAUAUGACACUUAAAUCAAGCCUGGUUUUAUUUUCUGGUGGGAUGUUAACAGCAUAGAUCACCUUCCAGAAUACAUGAAACACUGCUAUGUGGCACUCUUAGAUGUGUACAAAGAAAUUGAGGAAGAGAUGGAGAAAGAAGGAAACCAAUAUCGGGUUCAAAAUGCGAUAGAAGCAGUAGGACAUUCUGCAUUGACUUUGUUUUGUAUAGUAACAUAUCGUAAGGAGAUAGAUGUAACUUGAUUGAAUGUUUGACAGAUGAAAAACCUAGUUAGAGCUUAUUUUCAUGAGGCUAAAUGGUUCCAUGAAGGAAGCAUACCAACAAUGGAAGAGUAUAUGGGGAUAGCACUGGUAACCUCAGGUUACUACAUGCUUACAACCAUGUCUUUCAUUGGUAUGGGAGAAAUUGUAACAAAGGAGGCCUUUGAUUGGGUGAUUAGUGACCCUAAGAUUAUCACAGCAUCAGCUGUAAUUUGCAGGCUCACGGAUGACAUCAGUUCAUAUAAGGUAUUGUGAAUAUAGUAUUUCUUGUUAAGCUAUAAUUUGACCUUGACCUUAAAGCUCAAUCAAUUAAACAUAUUUAUUGUACUCAUUUGUGCGAUUCUUUUUCUUGGUAUCCAUGAUUAAUUAACAAAGGUAUUGUUUUUUUUUUUUUGGAAAAAAAAAAAGAGAAGUUCAAAUUUAUUUUUUUCCUCUCUCUCUCUCUCUCUCCCUCCACACGCUCAUUAAUUUUAAUGUUAAGAUAUCAGCCCAAUUGACUUGAUUUAUAUUAACUUAAAACUUUUGUUCUAAUAGGUACCUUCAUAUAACGGUAAAGCCUUGAUUUUUAUAGGAGGUCAUGGAGGUGAACUGUGAACCUUACUGAUGUGUACCCAAACCAUACCAUUUAUUUAUAAUAUUGUCAUCAUAAUAUUUAAAUAUGGGACAUUUUAUGCAUUCAUUAUGUAGAUAUCCCUUUGUAAUAUACAUUCGUUGAGUUGGAGGAUGGUAACAUCGAUAUCCCUUUUUGUGUAAUGCAUAUCCAACAAACACACAUUGCAAUGCAUGGGAAGUUAACUUGGUGCGUUGGUGUUUAUGUAGAUGCACAAAUGCCACGCAACCAAAAACACGAGGAGGUAGAUUUGGGACAGUUGGGACAACUACGGCAUUAGUAAGAGUUUGGAGAGGUGUUUGGAAGUUAAUUGAGCUGGAAGGUACCCGAUUGAUCAAGUAUGCGGCAUGACUCGUGCCCAAUUGGUGUCUCAGCUGAUUUGUGUUCAGCUGGUGCUCCUUGAUUGAGGAAGUGAUCAACAAAAUUUAUACCUAUAACACCAUACACUAGGGUAGCAAAUACAAAGCUACUAUAGUAUAGUGGCUCUAAGGAUCGUUCACUGGGAAUGAUGAACAAGCAAUCAAGGAUACCAAUUCCAAGUGAAUUGGUUUUGUUUCAUUUCACGGUUAGCUUAAGGAAUAAAACACAAACUUUGAUUGGUAAAGGUUUAGACUUAAACUAACUAACUUAACAGAAGUUUGGAAUAAUUUAGGAAGAAAAGCAUUCCUUGGAGAAUUAGGUUCACUGGGGUGGUUCCUCAUGCAAAAGACAUAGCUCCGGUCAGAUGGUUCAUUUCCUCGCAUUAGAGAUUCAACUUAGAGUCAAUUCUCUAACCGGUGAUGUACAGAGACUCCUUCAAUUAGAUUUCACUUUAAUUCUCUCACUGAUACAACUUGCAAUGGUUCAUGCCUCUCACGAGCACUUACCAUUCAAGGUGAUCUUUAACCUUGGAUUCCCCUUCACAAACUCGCAAGAGAUAACUAAUGGAUGUCUCCUAGGAGUCCAAAAGCUUACCAAGUGUUGGUAAUUCCAGAAAAUCCUACCUUGAAGUCACCUACCAAAGGCUCGCAAGGGGUAAACUAGUGCAUUUCCACGGUUAGAAAUCACUUGCCUUACCAAGUGUUGGCCCAGGUGACUCCAAAGUGUUUUAAGUUAACUAAAAACAUUGAAAUCACUAAAGGAUUUCACUUCCUCUUCAUUACUAGCUAAAACCACAAAGCUUUGCAUUCUUGCACUUGGAACCUUCCCCGGCAACCUUAGCUCCAAGGAAUUGGAGGUUUAGUUACUCAUUCUCUGGGGAAAACUCCUCAGAGAAUUCAUAACUUAGAAAUAAAAUGAAAAUAUAAAGUGAGAAGGUAAGGCAGUAGAAAGAAAAGACUUUUACUUGCUUACCAAAAAACGAUUACAGAAGGAACUCCUCUCUGAGAACAUGCUCUCGAGAGGUAUUUAUAUUAAAGCAAUAUAAAACUAAUUCUUACACUGAUAUUUGGUCUUUUUACUAACUUAAAAACUAAGGAAUCAUGUAAUUGGUGGUUUACAAGGAGUAUUUUGGAAUUUAGACAACAAAAAUCUAAUGGAAAAUAUCUCCCAAUGUCGGUAGCAAGCUUCGGGAGGCUUCAGGAGCCAUUUCGCAGGAGAAAAGUGGUGCCUGCGAAAUUUCGCAGACACCCAAGAGGGCUGCGAAAUUAUUUCGCAAGACCAAGCUAUCUUCACCAGGCUGCAAAGUUGGCUUCCAUCUUGAAGUUUCCAGCUCCCUUCUCGCGGCAUGGUUCGUGCAUCGUCAGAAGGAGAAACACCUUACUGUACAAAAGCGUUGCGAAAAUCUCGCAACAAAAGGCUGAUUCCGCAGCACUUUAGAGUGACUGGCUUGUAAUGGCUGCAACUUCUUCGUUUCAACUCCAAAUCGCGCACCGUUUGAAGCAUUGGAUUGUUGACUUCCUGAGCUUUGAAAUGGUAUAUAGCUUGCAUCAUUUGGACUUCAGAAAGUGCUCCAAAAGUGGCUGCUACGACUGUCAUCAAGAAUAGGCUUCAUGACUGAUCCUCUUUGCUUUUUCUCCUUGCAAUCCGGAUUCACUCUUGGCAAUUGAAUUCUAAGCUUUUCCCAUGAUUCCUCAUAGCUCUCCUCAUUCUUGACUUGCUUUGGUGAUCAAAAUACUAACAAAAACACCAAAACUUGCACAAAGUGAUCAAAAUUGCUUUAAAGGAUCCUUAACAUGCCAAUUGAGUUAAAAGGCCUAAACUACUACUCAAAAGUGUUAAAAAGGAUUAAUUAAAGGCUAUCAAAUAGCACUUUUUGAGUAGUAAUCACGGCAGAUGUGAUUGCUUCUCCCCAAUAAGAUAUCGAUGUUUUUGCUGCUAUCAAGUAAGCACGAACAACCUCUAACAAGUGCCGAUUUUUUCGUUCAGCACAACCCGAGCCUUACUCUUUCAAGGGAAUGUUCCUAAGUCCUAUUGAGGAGAAGUUGUUCUUACUGCCACAUACAUGAUAAAUAGAAUUCCGUCACGAGUUUUAGAAAACAAAAGCCUCAUAGAGAUACUUAAGAGUUUCUAUCCACACUUCAGAACCUCAAAUGGGCUCACUCCUAGGGUAUUUGGGUGCACAACAUUUGUUCAUGUCCACAACCAACAUAGAGACAGCUAGACCCCCGAGUCAUAAAAUUUGUCUUUCUUGGUUACUUCAUCCACUAAAAAGGAAACAAAUGUACAUCCCNNNNNNNNNNNNNNNNNNNNNNNNNNNNNNNNNNNNNNNNNNNNNNNNNNNNNNNNNNNNNNNNNNNNNNNNNNNNNNNNNNNNNNNNNNNNNNNNNNNNUGUUACAAUCCCAUAACAAAAAUUUUUUACAUCUUUGCAGAUGUCACCUUCACAGAAAAUAAACCUUUUUUCCCAAAGUCCUCUUUUUAGGGGGAGAUUUCAAUGAUAGAAGAUAGUCCUGAGUCCUUUGAACCUCUUGACCUUCCUCAUGUCUCAACCCAUGGUGAUGAAAUACCUGAGUCAUCCGAGUCAAUCACACCUGAGUCACCCAAUUUUGCCACUAAACCCGUGUCAUCCCAUGUUCCAAGCAGUGUCACUCGCAAUUUUCCAUAGUUUCCUAAGGUGUAUUCAAGGGAAAAGGCCAUUCCAGAACAAAAGUAUGUCCAAGAAUCCAACUCAGACCCUGGGAAUGAAAUCACGCUAAGAUCAGACCCACCUUUACAUACACAACCUGGUGAAACUUCUACUAACUCAACAGACAACCUAGACCUAGACCUUCCCAUUGCUAUCAGAAGAGGCACCAAAGAAUGCACUAAUUGACCACUCUAUCCACUAUCACACUAUGUGUCUCUUAAGCACCUAUCACUAGCCCACAAAAAUUUCAUUGUGAGUCUAAACACCACUAUCAUCCCUAACACUGUUUCUAAGGCAUUGACAAAAAGGGAAUGAAAUGAUGCUAUGAGAGAGGAGAUGAGUGCAUUAGAAAAGAAUAAAACAUGGGAGAUUGUUGAAAGACCGAAAGGGAAAAACAUUGUUGAUUGCAAGUGGAUUUUCACACUGAAAUAUAAGACUGAUGGAUCUCUUGAGAGACAUAAAGCAAGAUUGGUAGCCAAAUGGUACACUCAAACUUAUGGAGUAGAUUAUCAGGAGACUUUUGCUCCAGUUGCAAAAAUAAAUACUAUGAGAAUCCUAGUCAUUGGCUGCCCACUACAAUUGGAAACUCCUAUAAUAUGAUGUUAAGAAUGCAUUUCUUCAUGAUGAUUUAGAUGAAGAGAUUUACAUGAACAUCCCCCCGGGAUUUGAGGGAAACACUGGUAAUAAGGUGUGCAAACUGAAAAAGGCCCUUUAUGGGCUAAAACAAUCUCUUAGGGCUUGGUUUGAGAGAUUUGCAAAAGUCAUGAAAGAGUCUGGGUACAAACAAAGCCAAGGUGACCACACUCUCUUCAUUAAGCACUCGGUUGCAGGGGGAGUAACUGCUCUUCUAGUCUAUGUUGAUGACAUCAUAGUGACUGGAAAUGAUGAGAGAGAAAAACAUGAAGUGAAGCAGAGAUUAGCAAUAAAGUUUGAGAUAAAGGAACUAGGGAAACUAAAGUACUUCCUUGGUAUUGAGGUGGCAUAUUCCACACAAGGGAUCUUCAUUUCUCAACAAAAGUAUGUGACUGAUUUAUUGGCAGAAACAGGGAAGAUUGGGUGUAAACCAGUCUCUACCCCCAAUGGAUCCAAACCACAAGUUGGGAAAAGCUAAAGAAAAACUAGUGUUGGAUAAAAGAAUGUACCAGAGGCUGGUUGGUAGGCUCAUAUACCUUGUUCACACUCGGCCAGACAUCGCCUACUCGGUGAGCAUGAUCAGUCAAUUCAUGCAUGAUACAAGAGAACCUCAUCUUCAAGCUGCUUAUAGGGUGCUACAUUACUUGAAAGGCAACCCCGGGAAAGGAAUUUUGUUCAGGAAGAACAAUACUCUUGCUCUAGAGCAUACACUAACACUGACUAUGCAAGUUCCUUAGUGGAUCGAAGAUCAACUACAGGGUAUUGUACUUUUCUUGGAGGUAAUCUGGUAACAUGGAGAAGUAAAAAGUAGAAUUUGGUAGCAAGAUCGUCUGUAGAAUCAAAGUUUAGGGUCAUUGCUCAAGGGUUGUGUGAACUACUUUGGCUGAAGAUUAUUCUAGAUGAUUUGAGAAUCAAGUGGGAUGGUCCUAUGAAACUCUAUUGUGAUAAUAAGUCAACUAUCAAUAUUGCUCAUAACCCUAUACUACACGAUAGGACAAAACAUAAUAAGAUCGAUAGGCAUUUCAUCAAAGAAAAAUUGGAGAAAGGAGUAGUGUGUAUGUCCUAUGUUGCAUCAGAACAUCAAUUAGUUGAUAUCCUAACAAAAGGGCUGAACAGUUCAAUGUUUCACAGUCUUGUAUUCAAGCUGGGAAUGGAAAACAUCUAUUCCUCAGCUUGAGGAGGAGUGUUGAGCUAUAAAUAGAUAGUAGAAUUAUUUUCCUAUUAUGUUAGUUUCCUAUUUAUGUAAAUAGAUAGUUUUAUUAGUUUCCUAAUUCUGUAAAUAGAUAGUUUUAUUACUUUCCUAUUUCUAUAAAUAGAUAGUUUUAUGAUUUAGGAAUAAAUUAGUUUUCUAUUAUGUCUCUUGUUUCCUAUUUCUUCUCUUGUAAUCUCCUAUAUAAACUGUGUAUGGUCAAUAUAAGAAACAAAAAUUAUUAUUUUCCAUCCCAUAUUUCGUAUCAAGAUGCAUGCCAUAAAAAUGGUAAGAUGAACAACAACAAGCCAAGCAACAAAAAAAAAAAAAAUGGAGUUUUUCCACCUUGUCCUCAUUGCAAGAAGACAAAUCAUUCUCCACAAAAAUGUUGGUGGAGACCAGAUGUGAAAUGCAACAAGUGUGGUAAACAAGGACAUGUGGAAAGGAUUUGCAAAAAUCAACAACAAAAAGAAACUAGUGCAGCAGUUGACUAUUGUCAGGAGGAGCAAUUAUUUGCAGCAACGUGUUUUGCUAAUAAAAGCACCUCUGAAAGCUAGCUUGUGGAUAGUAGUUGUACAAACCACAUGACAAAUAAUCAAGAUCUCUUUAGAGAACUUGAUAGAACAGCUAUUUCCUAAGUCAGAAUUGGAAAUGGUGAGUAUAUUCCAAUGAAGGGCAAAUGAACGGUUGCUAUCGAAAGCCAAAUAGGUUUGAAACUCAUUUAUGAUGUUUUGUUUGUGCCUGACGUUGACCAAAACUUACUCAGUGUUGGACAGCUCGUUGAGAAAUGAUUUAAAGUUUAUUUUGAAGAUAGGAAUUGCAUUAUCAAGGAAGCUGAAGGCAAAGAGGUGUUUAACAUAAAAAUGAAGGGCAAGAGUUUUGCCUUGAAUUUACUAGAAGAUGAGCAUGCUGUUGUUUUACAAUAAGAUAGAACAACAAUGCUUUGGCAUAGAAGGUUUGGGCACUUUCAUCAUGAUGUUGUGCUCUACAUGAAGAAAAAUCAAAUAGCUGAAAGACUUCCCGACUUAGAAAAAGAUCUUCCUAUAACUGCUACUUGUUAAUAUGGGAAGCAAACUAAACUUUCCUUUCCAAAGAAAACAUCCUAGAGAGCAACCCAAAAAUUGCAACUAGUGCAUACUGAUAUUGGUGGACCUCAAAAGACGUCAUCCUUGAAAGAGAAUGUAGGCAUUGUUCACCAACUCACUGCACCAUAUAAUCCACAACAAAAUAGAGUCGUGGAGAGGAAAAAUAGAACGAUUUUGGAGAUGACAAAAUGCCUUCUACAUGAAAAAGAUCUACCUAAAGUUUUUUGGGCUGAAGCUACAAGUACAGUAGUAUAUUUGCUGAACAAAUUGCCAACAAAAACGUUAAAGAAGCAGACCCCUUUCGAAGUUUGGUUUGAGUUUCUACGUGGAAGACUUGGAGUUUGCAUCUACUAAGUCAAGAAGGAGUGUUGAAUUUUGACCUAGUAUCUGCUAGAAUUUGAAUUUUGAAGUUAAAUAUUGCAGCUGGAGUCUUGCACAAAAUCUAUAACAUCCAAAUAUUUUUCUUGUUGUUAUUUGGUCAAGAUUUGGUUUCUAUUUUAUAGGAAGUAGUUGUUCAUCAUCUAGUAGCUUGAUUUUCUGCUAUUCUAAUGUCAUUUCAGUUACAAGCUCAUGUAUAAAUUCAACACUCUUCAUCAAUAAAAUGUGUGUUUCAGCAACCCAAAAUAUAUAUUCUGCAUAAGUGUUUAAAUCUUAGACCAACACAUCCUCGUCACUAGUAGUUGUGCCUCUCAGGUUACCUUUUUUAUCUCUCAGCUCAGCUCCACCUUUGCUCUUCGUGACCUUGGUUCCCUUUACUAUUUCUUUGGCAUUGGGGUUACUCAUAGUACUGAUUCUCUUCAUCUCUGCCAACAAAAAUAUGUGCAUGACUUGCUCACUCGUACUGCCAUAACUGAUGCUAAACUUGUUCUUACAUUGGGUUCCUUGGCCAAACCUCUCUCUCUCAUUGAUGGUGAUCUACUUAUAUCGCAACAUUGUUGGCGCAUUACAGUAUGUUACUGUUACAUGUCCAAACCUUUCUUUUGCCGUUAACAAGGUAUGCCAGUUUAUGGCUUCCCAACGACUACCCACUAACUAGAUGUCAAGAAUAUAAAAAGUAGUUAAAAAUAAAAUAAAAAUAUAGAUUUAAAAUAAAAAAUAAAAUAAAUAUGAAUAAUUAAAAAUUUUAAAAAUGAUAAAUAUUUUUUUUUAAAAAAAGUUUUCAAAAAAAUCUCAGAUAUUUUCAGAUAUAUCGGCAAUGUAUCCAAUAUAUCCGAUAUAUCGUCGAUAUAUCUCCAAUAUUUUGAUAGACUUCCUCUAUUGCUUCGCGCGUCGCUUCACACUCGAUUUUUUCGCUGAUUUAUCGAUUUCAAAUUAACCGAAAUGUCAACAUAUUUCGGGGAUUUUUUUGAUAUUCCUCUCGUUCGAUAAUGUUGCUUAAUAUCCUUUCAGGGUUGUCCGAUAUCCGAUAUAUUGGUGAAAUAUCAUCGAUAAAAACCGAUUUUUCAAUCCAUGCUUAAUAGUGGGUUUCCCUUUUGUUUGGCCUCUUGUAGACCCCCAUUUUGGGGCUCGGUUUUUUUUAUCUCUAUUUUCUUUGUAGGUGUCACCAUCCCAGAGAGCCAUGUGUCGCCUCUUUGGUGGUUGAUAGGGAAUCAACAUUGCUUUUCGGGGACUUAUGGUAGGUUGACACGUGGAAGAAUAUUCUGGAGAGCUGAUUUCCAUUAUGGGGGAGCAUAUGAGAGAGGAUAUUCUACAGGCAUUUUGAUUCUCACAUGUGCAUGAUCACCUUGAGUAUUCAUUGAUUUUGGCAUCAAUUGUCACAUAAACUUCAUUUUAUUAGUAGAGACCCGACUUUAAGGACUUAGAGGGGUGCUACGGUCUUUACCGUACCUUCCCGAUAAAUAAUUUGACCCCCGAACUCGAUCCGGUUUUUCACGGACCACCUUUUCCAAAUAAGGAGUCACACUUAGGAUUUUCUUUCUUAUUUUAUUUACCCUUUAAAAAUAAAACAAAAUUAAGUGGCGACUCCAAGUCAUUUUUUUUAAUCAGUAAAAUCAUUUUCAAAAUAAAAAUCGAGCUCACUAUCGAGUGAAAAACGCAUUAGCCGAAAUACGGGGUCCACACCUCUAUUUAUUUAAAAAAAAAAAAAAAAAUCCUUUCCCAUUCUAUGGCCUUGAGUGAGCAUUAUGUAUUUCAACUAUUUUGACAUGUUCAAAAUAAAUUACUAAGAAUUUAAAGGGAAUUUGUUCGACAAGUACUUUUUUUUUAACAUAUUUAUUUAUACAUUAUUUAGUUUAGGUUGCAUUAUUCUAUGUAAAUAAUUUAUUGGGUAUGGGAAUUACUUUUAUAAAUGGCUGAGUAGAUUCAAUUUUAGAUAUUUAUUUAUUGAGCAUGAAAAUUAUUUAUUAAAACAUGGUUUAACGACCAUGCGAUGGAAUCAACCUGUUAAAAAAAAUAAACUAAUACUAUAUUAUUUUAACUUAAAUUAUUUCUUGAUUGUAGCAAUGUUGAAAAAACAAAUAUCAAUAAAAGACUAACCUUAACGGGAAAAUAGUAAUUAACAUAAUUUUAUAUUGACUUGUAAAAUUGGGUCAACAUAUAAAUAUAUUAAUUGUAACAAGAAGACCUACAUUGAUAAUGAAACGUCAAUAUUAGUCUAUAUUGCCAACUUUGAAAUAUUAAUAUAUGUAUAUAGCAGAUGUUUUCAUGAUUAGGAAUUAGAGAAAAUUUUGUAGAAGAUUUUUCCAAAUUUGAAAAUAACUAUGGAAGAAAUUCAACUUAAACACGUUUCUUUGUGGAAGAGUUGCAUUGGCAAGGAAAGCUACACACAUUCAUUGAACAGUCUUAGGCCCAUUUUUCCAAGCAGCCUAGCAAGUUGUCUGAAUUAAACCCCUAUGGAUUGAAAUUGAUUGGAUCCAUUACCCGUCAUGCAUUCAAUCCCAAAGCGUUGAUUAUUCAAACUCUAUGAAAUAUAGGUUUCGCUGAGUAGAGGAGUUCAAAUACAUUAAAUCGAUAUUUUAAGUAAAUAUAAUGUGGAAAAUGAAACCUACUAGAUCGAUAAUGACCACAUUACAAACCGAUCUCCAGGCUAGUUAGGGCAAUCCCCUCAAAAUUCAAAAAAUAAUUAAGUAAAUAAAAUGUAAUUAUUAAUAUUUUUAAAAAGUAGUUAUGGACUCGAAAUGGGUAUUUUUUAUAUAUGAAGUUUAAUCAAGUAGUAGUUCUUAUCCUAGCCACACCUAAUAUUAACAACUUGUUAGGAUAUUCUGAUUGAAUUUAGCCAAAGAGACUCUAGAAGGCCAAUAUUUUUCUUAUCAUCACUCUCUUCCGAGCACAACUCUUCCACACCAUGGGCCCCAAAACUAAACCAAAUUCCACAUACUUUUUAACUACAUACAGCCACUGCAUUCCAGGCUGUCUCUCAUACUCACCAAUUCAUCACUGAAGGUAUAGGACUGUUCUAUCAUUGUUCCAAGUAAUUGGCAUCUCUACUCAAGUCUCAGCAUGUUCCCUAGCCCAAAUUUCUAAACCCAAAAAUCACCCUGUGGCAAGCUUGAAGGUAAUUCAAUGAAAAUAUGCUUAAAGCUCAACGGCUAAUUUACUUAUUUGGAAGUCAUUUUUCUUUAUGUGUUGGAUGAUAAAAUUUGUUGGUCUAGGUUACACGUUCCUGCAAAGAAGAGCAGACGGAGGAUCUGAAAAAUGAAUUGAAACUGGAAUUAAUACAUAGUGUUGAUUAUAUAUUGAUGGAAAUUAGUUUAAAGUUGGAUAUAUUAAUUACUUAGGGAUGUUUGGUAAAACUUAAUACUUAUUAUUUAAUUAUUUGAGUUGACUUUAAAUUAAAUUAUACUUAAAUUACUGACUUAAAACUUAUUAUUUUAAGUAUUAAGAUAUAAAAUUAACUUAAAGUUUAUUUAAAAUCAUUAAGUUGACAUAUUUAUUCUUAUAAAUUAUAAUUAGAAUAGAAAAGGUUGAGUAACAAUAGAACUUAUAGAAUUGUAAAAGAGAUCAUGAAGGUAAUUAAGACAAAUAAAGAUAAAAAGAUAAAAUAAAAAUAUAGAAUUAAAAAUAAAUUAAUUAUUUUUACUUAUUAUUUAAAGUUAUUUUUUACUUUAAAUCAUAUUAUUAAGUUAUUUUAUUAAAUAUACUUAAUUUACUUAAUGACUUAAAUUAAGUUAUUAAAUCAUUUUAAGUUAUUAAAUUGAUUAAUCAAAUUCCUACUUAUUGAAUACAAAUAUAGAAGGAAAUUAGGAAAGCAAAGUAGAUGGGUUAUUAGGUGAAAGCUUAUCAAAUCCGCCUAUCAACAUAUCACACUUUUACCAAAAACCCACCUCAUGCCAAGCCUAUAAGUUGUCAAGUCCUUAUGAUCCAACAACUUUCUUAUGGUUCCCACACGGGUUUCUAUUGUUAUCAAAACAAAAAGUUAUAAUAAAAUAUAUAUAUAUAUAUAUAUAUAUAUAUAUAUAUAUAUAUAUAUAUAUAUAUAUAUAUAUUAUAAUUCAUAGAUAAUCUGACAAUUAAAUAAAAAGAUAAACUCAUUUGUGGAAUAUAAUUAAUAAAAAAAAAAAGAGAAGUGUUAAGAGUUUUAAAUUAUUAUUAUUUUAUUAACAAUUUUAUUAUAUUUUCAUUUUAACUUAAGAAUCUAUUGAAAUAGUGACUUACUCUCUAUUAAAGAUUCAAAGUUAUUUUUCAAUCAAUCGAACUAUCAGGUAAGUAUGAAAAUGAUCGAGUAAAGACAAGUUAAUUGUCACAAAUAAGUGUGAAAAGGAUCGAGUAAAGACAAAGGGUUGAAUUGAAAAUUUUAAUUUGCAUAAAAUGUUUUAAUUAAUUUGAAAAGAAUUUUAAAUUGAGAAUUUGAAAAAAAAAAUUCCAAAUAAUAAAAAUAAUUUGGAAAUGAAUUUUAAAUUAAGGAUUGAAAAUUUAAAAUUUGUAAAAGGAAAAUUUUUAUAAAUCUUUUCUAAUUUUAAAUAUGAAAUAUUUCCAAAUCUUUUUAAAACUCUUAAGUUUCUAAAUUGUUUUCCAUAAAAUAUAAUCUUUAAAUUAAUUGCAACUAUAUAAAGUUUUCUCCUAUAUAUAUCCUACCUAAAUGUAUAUUUGAUGAGGGUCUGACUUGUUUUUCCAUUCUUAAUCUCUAAAGAAAGAAUUCAUUACAAGUACCUACAUCCCUUCAUAAGCUUAGAGGAGUUAGAGCAUUUGGAGGUACUACAUUGUGGAUGUGGAUUAAGGUGUAGGUGCUAGCUAGUUAAUCAUUAAGGUAAAACGGUUAUUAAAUAUGUGUACUUUAAUUUCAAAUAGUGGAUUAUAAAGGGAGAAUUAUGUUUUGGGGGUAGAUGGGCCCCCAAAUUAACAAAAGGUCCAUGUAACUCUUUAAAUUGAGCCCAAGACCCAAUAAAAGUAUGAAAAUUGAGUUGAAGGAUAUCAUCCUUCAGUAUUUCCAAAAAUGUCAUUUGUUGAUUUUGAGAAAAAAAAAUUAAUAUUUUUGAAAAAUACUUUUAUAUAAUUUAAUAUUUUUUAUUUAAUUUAAUAUUUUUAAAAAAAUACUUUUAUGUAAUUUAAUAUUUUUUUAAAUACUUUUAUUUAAUUAAAUAUUUUUUAAAAAUAAAUUUAUUUAAUUUAAUAUUUUAAAAAAAUAUUUAAUUUAAUAUUUUUUAAAAUACUUUAAUUUAAUUUAAUAUUUUUGAAAAAAAAUUAUUUAAUUUAAUAUUUUUGAAAACUACUUUUAUUUAAUUUAGUAUUUUUGAAAAAAAAUUAUUGAAAAAAAAAUAUUUAACUUAAUUUUAUAAAAUAUUUUAUAUGUGUUCUUAAAGGGUAUACUUGUCCGUUACUAUUUCAUAUCCUUCAACUCAAUUUGAAGAGUUAUAUGGACCUUUUGUUAAUUUGGGGACCCAUCUACCCCCAAAACAUAAUUCUCCCGAUUAUAAAUUAGAGGUUUUAAAUCUUGUGAUUUUUUAUGCCCACAAUUAGCAUUGAUAUUUUCAAAUUAAAAUUUCUUGUGUCCCUUAUUUGAUUAUUUUUAUUAUUUUGAUCUUUAAUUAUUUUGAUUAUCCCUAUUAUCUCUUAGUUUAAAUUGAGUUAAUAUUAUUUAACUCUUAUAUUAUUAUCUUUAAAAAUCACCCCACUCUCAAUGUCAUCCUCUUGGACAAAAGCGUAUAUAUAUAUAUAUAUAUAUAUAUAUAUAUAUAUAUAUAUAUAUAUAUAUAUAUAUAUAUAUAUAUAUAUAUAUAAUUCACAAAUCUUGAAAAUAUAUUUAAUAUUAAAAUAUCAUUCCAUGUAAUUUGGAAGUAUUCAAAGAUGUAAAAGAUAUGAUAAUAUAUGUAUAAUUAUUUUUUAUUUAAAAAUCUUAAUAAUUACAUUUGCAACUUUAUUUUGUCCUCAUUAUUUAAUUAAUAUACAAAAAGAUAUGGGAAUAGAAUUAUCAAAAGAAUUGUCAUAAUAAAGCUUUAUAUUCUUAAUAAUAAGUUAAAUUAAGGUGGCAUUUAUUUAUUUUUACUUAAAUCUAAAUGAAAAUUAAUUUAACUUAAUUGUAAAUAUAACUUAAUAGAAUUAAUUAUUAUAUUUUUUUGUUUUUUAUAAUUUUAUUUUUGUUAAGCGUUAAAUAUUAAUUGGGUGAGAGUCCUACUAAGGUUGUGCUUUGACUGAUUCAAAAAAUUAUUUUUAGUAAUGAGCAAAAAGUUAAAUAUUUUACUUUUAUCUAUUCAUUAAAAAAAUCUUAAAAAUUAAAUUUUUUUUUUGUUUUAUUCAAAAUAGUGAAUGGAGUUUGAGUCGAAUUUUAAUUAUUUGGUAAAAUAAUAAAAUUAGUUUUUUAUUUAAAAGAAAAAAUAAAGGUAAGUCAAAGAUAUAAAGAUAAUUAUUUUAUUUUAAAUAAGAAAGAUUCAAAAAAAAAAAAAAAGAUAAAUGAGCUACAAAUUUUAGGAUUAAUUGAUUAAAAUGGAUGAAAAGAUUUCAAAUUUGUAAAACUAAUCUCUUCCAUUUUUUAACUUGAAAGUAACACUUGUUUGACAUAAAUACCCUUUAACAUUUUCAUUAUUUACAUAUGUAUUUUAAAAGAAAAUGUUAUUUUUGUAAGAAAAAAGUGAGAGUAUUCUUAUGUAUUUUUUGGAUGAAAAAAAAUGGUUUGCAAUUUGAUAUUUCUUUCGUCCUUUUUAAUCGGUUAUCCCCAAAUUUUUUUUACGGAAAAUACAAAUUCUAAAAAUAUUUGGUUUUAUUGCUAUUUUUAAAUUUAAAUAUAUUUUUACCUUAAUUAUAUUUUUAUUUCAAAAUAAUUGAUGAUGAUUUAGUUGAAUUCUAACAUUUAAUGGAGUUUUAGUUGAAUUCUAACACUAUAAUAUAAAGUGACCCGAUAAAAUUAUAAAAUCAAUUUUAUUUAAAAAUAAAUAAAGUUGAGUUAAAAAUAGUAUUAAAUGAAUUAAAAUUUAAAAAUAAAAAUGAAUAGUUUUACCUUAAAUAAAAAAUAUUAAAAGAAAAAAUAAUUAGAUAGAUAGGCUUUAAAUUUUAUUAAGAGAAACAUAAUUUUUUUUAAAAAAAUUGUUUUUAUUUAUUUUCAAUUUUAAAAUUUUAUUUCUAUUUUUUAUUUAAAUGUAUUGUCAAAUUUUAUCUAAAAAUAGUUAAUAGAGUUUUGGUUGAAUUUUAAGACUAUAAGAUAAGCGAAUAGUUGAAAUUAUAAAAUGAAAUUUUUUAUUAAAAUGAAAAGAAAGUUAAGUUAAAGAUACUAUAAAUUAUGAUUAGAAGAAUGAAAAUCAAUAUAAAAAAAAAGUGGUUUUAUCUUAAAUUAGAAAUACUAAAAAAAAAAAAAAGGAAUAAUGUAUUGAAAAAUAUAACUGUGGUAGAAGAGCAAUGACUAUGCUCUUUUGAAUACCCUAGUUUAUGUUCAUUUUUUAAAAUUUAAAAAGAAUAAACAUCUUUUAGAUAUUAACAAAAAUAAAUUUAAAUAGAUUCUUAACAUAAAACCUAAAAAACAUUUGUUGUUGGCCAAAAAAUCCAACUAUGAGCCCUUUUAUGACAAGUGAAACUUCCAAAUCUUCUGAAGAGUUUUUUAUCUUAGUAUUAAAAUCUAAAAGCAGAAUAUUUAUACUAUGAGUUGCCUUUUUAACAACUAAUUUAUUUUAUUUAAUGUAAUAAUAUACAUUAAUAUAAAUUAUAGUUGAGUUUUUUUAUAAAAAAAAAUUGGCAUAUGCUUGUAUUACUUUGUUAGCUUGGAGGACGAAAAGCCUAUACAAAUAAUGAGUUGAAUGAAAUAAGAAGCGAGUAAAUUACAUGUAUCAAUGAAAUUGUAAUUUUUAGAUUACAGAAAUGAGUACAUGCAUUAAUAUAUAUGAAAAUAUAUAGUGAUUAUGAGAUUUGAGAAUCUAUUUAUUUUGAAUGAUGGGAAUUAAACUUCGUAAAAUUUCAAUGUAGAUCGGAAGUAAAUUUUUUUGUUACUUGAAAUAUUUACAACUUCUUUCCAGUAGUGAUGUUAUUUUGUAAUAGAACUUCCCUGGACAAUCGUUUUCAUGACUGGGAAUUGAAAUAGAGAAAAUUUUGUAGAAGAUUUUUUCAAAUUUGGAAAAAUCGCAUGUAGAAGAGUUGAAUUGGCAAGGAAAUCUACACUCAUUGAACAGUCUAUGCCCACUUUUCCAAUCAGCCUAGCACGUUUUUUUGAAUUGAAUAACCACGGAUUGAUAUUGAUUGGAUCCAUUAUCAGUCAUUCAAUCCUAAAACAUUCAUUUGUCAAACUCCAUGGAAUAUAGGUUUGGCCGAGUGGACAUUUCAAUACUAAACUUGUCCAAAUACAUUAAAUUGAUAUUUUUAGUAAAUAUGAUGCGCAAAAUGAAACCCACUAGGUCGAUAAUGACCUAGUGGUUAGGGCAAUCCCUCAAAAUUCAUAAAAAAAGAAGAAGCAAAUAGAAUCAAAUAGUAGUUCUUAUGUUAUUUUUUCAAAAAAUAGUUAUCGAGUCUGGAAAUGGGUAUUUUUCAUUUACGAAGCUUAAUCCUAUGGGAUUUAAUUUUCAUCGACUAGGAGAAUAAUUUGAUCCUAGCCACACCUAAUGUUAACGACUUGUUUAGGUAUUCUGAGUGAAGAGGACAACGGUUCCACACCGUGGGCCCCAAAACUAAACCAAAUCCCUCAUACUAUUCAACUACAUACUACCACUGCAUGCCAAGCCGUCUCUCUCAUACUUACCAAUUCUUUCUCUAGUCCAGAUUCUUAAACCCCAACAUUUGGGGUGACCAAUUUAUUACCUACACUCCCGAAGAAAGUUAAUUCAAUGAAAUUAUGUUUAUAUACUUAUUUGGAAGUUAUUUUUCUUAGGAUGAUAAAAUUUGCUGGUCUAGGUUACAAGUGCCUACAAAGAGGAGCAGAUUGAGGAUCUGAAAAAUGAAUUGAAAAUGGAAUUAUACAUUUUCAUGGACAAGGGAAAGGAACAAGGGAAAGUUGUGUUUUCAUGGACCAAUAUGGUAAUAAUAUUGUUUUUGGAACCCAGGUUUGUGAAAGUAGAAAAACAUCUGUUAAUGUGAAACUUAUAUCAGAUUCAUGCACUUUGAGCCGGUUAUAUUUUUUCUACAUAAAAAAUAAAAAUAAAUAAAAUACAAAAUAAAUCUAUUAGAAGGCGUCUGUCUAUUCUCUGCACCCUCACCGCCAAAGAGUAGAUGAGUUGGCGAGUGUGUUCGCUCCGGAGUCUUUACGCGCCGAAGAUGCCUCUUCUCCGAUCACCUCUGUUCUUCUUUGUUUGAAGCCGCCGACUGUUCGGUACCACGUGCUCCGUUUCGGGCACUAAGAAGAAGAACAAGGAGAAGGUGAUAGUGAUAUCCGGUCCCACCGGCGUCGGAAAGAGUAGGCUUGCAUUGGAGCUGGCGAAGCGCGUCAAUGGAGAAAUUAUCAGUGCGGACUCGGUCCAGGUAAGGCACCGAGUUCUUUUACCGUUUUCCUCUUGGAUUGCCCUCUGUUUGGUUGCCGAGAAAGAAAGGGAAGGACAAUGGGAAGGGAAUUAUGUCUUGUGUUGUUGAUUUGGGUGUUUAGGUUUUGUUUUUUGUUUUCUUGUUUGUUUUUUUUUUUUUCUCUUUCAUUUGUUUGGUUGCUGAGAAAAUAGAGGAUUCAGUCUUCUUUAGAAUGUUCUAUGCUUCUGUUUUUCAAUAGGAAGCUAAUGUUUAUGAAAAUUGUGACGAGGGGCUCAUGGAGAUAUGAUAAUGUUGGAGAAAAGUAGAUAAUCUAUAUAGAAAGUUCAAAACUUCAAGCAAAGUUACUCAAGGGACUAAACCUUUAGCAACAAUUUCUCCCAAGUAUUUUGUUGGUUAGUUACUCAAAAAGGUAAUUUUUUUAAGGGGGAAGAAAAUGACAAUUUGCAUUUUAUUUUUUGGUGAUAGGCAAAUGAGAAAAUAUUUAAAAGCUCCUAAAAGGAGCUGCAACAACUUACAGAUGAUGUAUACAGUAGUCACAUAGUUUAGUCAAGAAGAAGAUAAACAAAAGAAAAAUCCUCUCCUUACUCAAAACUUAUCCAAUCUACAAAGUCUAUCAUAGAUAUUGAGUGGUCCACCUUGUACAUUCUAACCCAAUUUACAAAGUAUAUAUAAAGUCGGAUUUGAUUGCUUGGUUUGACUGCUUAGCUUCAUUCAAAGCUCUCCCUUUUUUUUUUCUUCCAAAGAGUAGAAAAAAAGCAUAAGGGUAUAGUCCUCCAGCAUUUUUUUCAUUGCUUCCCCAUGGAAGAGCCAUGCAAACCCAAAAGGAUCCUUCUACUGAAAAACACAUCCCCAAAACCACUCCAAAGAGAAAAGGAUCAACUACCAAACAUAAUUGCUUUGGCACAGUAGAGAAGCAAGUAAUCUGUCAUUUCUUCCUCGCAUUUGCACAAAUAAACUUAUUAAGCAGAGUCCAUACCAUCUUUUUGGUGCCCAUGUGCUCCACACUACACCUGUUGGGAAAGCUCUCUAUCUCCCUUGGCCAAGGAAGAUUAAAGGGAUCUAAUUGAAAAAUUGCUGCUCUUGGACUCAUUUCAUCUCAAUUCGCCCUCCUUUUCCUUUUUAAUUGACAAUGAUUGCAAAUUCAAUUGGAAAAUCUCCACUUCAUCAAGCUCUCAAUCAUUAAACUGUCUUGAAAAGUGGUGGCUCCAUCCACCCUCUUUCCCAACUUGGUCCCACUCCUCCGCUACCCAUCCAUCUCUGUUGGAUGCAAUAGAGAAUAAGUUAGAGAAGACUUGCUUUUUAUUCCCUUCCACUCAUUUUUUAUGGUUUUCCACACCUCCACUCCAUACCCUUCUCUCAUCCUUCUUGAAGACCACCUGCUUCCUCUUCUCCGAACUUUCCUAUUAUGAUUUGUUUUGAUAAGGACUCCUUGUUAGUAACAAAUCUUCAAUCCUACUUACCAAGCAAGGCCUUGUUAAAGGUUGAAAGAUUGUGAAUACCAAGAUCCCCUUCCUUCCUUGCCAAGUAGACUGUAGUCUAAUCAAUAAAAUGAGGUCUUUUCUCUAGUGCACCUCCUCCUCAUAAAAUGUUUCUUUGGAUCUUCCUGAGUCUUGAAUUGACCUUUCUUGAAAUGACAAAAAGGAUAUAUAAAUUGGAAGGCUUAAUAAUGUGCUUUUAUCAAGGUAAGUCUCCCUUCGAAAUGUAUGGGUGGUAUGGAGUUAUCAUUAAGGUAUGCCUAGCAAUUUUUUUUUUUAAACCAUGUACAGACUCCAGCUACUGCUGCAACUAGUGCUCAAUGAACGCAACAGUGUCAGAGAUACAAUUCUGGCCGCAUGCCAUUUGUGACUUCAUAGUUCAUGAUAAGUUUCUUCCUAUCUGCUGCUACAUACCAAAAUGACCAAGGGUUGAUUCUAGUUUGUCCAAAAUUUAUUAAUUCAUAUCAUGUUGUGUGCUGAUGUGAUUUGUUCCAAUUGUAAAACCAUUAUUUAUGUUCUAUAUGUGAUGUAUCUGAUGAAGUAUUCCACUUCCCAUUGUAACAGUGGCAGUUGGGUUAUGCUGAAUAUGAGGACUUUAUGUACAAGAAUGACCAACAUGUAAGGGAAAGGAAGAGUACCUGGUGAUGCUGCUGCUGGAGCAUAUGGGACGCAGUAACAACAGUGUAAUAGGGCUGUUCAUUUUUCCUUCAAUAUUGUAAAGGAAGGGAGUAGGAACAUGGACAACACUCAGUAUUUGUUCUUUUAUUAUAGUUAAGGGUGCUGGUUAGUGUUGUAUUGGCGAUUGAUUGGACAACAACUAUGAUUGUAAGAUGUGAUCCAAAGUGAUAGGUUUAUUAUGGGGUAUGGUACUAAUUUCAUAAGAGAACAACAAACAUAGACUGUAACUUAUUUGUUUGUACACUGAUGCAGUUUCAGUUUAUCCUUCUAUACUCACAUUAGUAAAUUGUUUGACGGCUUUCCUUUCAUAUUUAGUUAUUGUGUAAGCUUUUACAUAGCAUCUUCUAUUAAUGUUAUUGGUAAGUUGGGAGGUUUGUUUGGUUUGAUUUACUACAUUAGAAACAGUUUGCUGGUAUACCAAUAGUUUGCAAUGGCGCCCUUCAAAUCCUGAUCUACCGGGGUUCAGGACUAUUGCUCAUCCUCAUUGGCAAGGGCUACUCAGGGUUCCUAAAUGAUUGUGCAUUUUGCUAAUUUUGUGUUUCAAACCAUGUACAGGUUGUUAUAGAAAAAAUAAAUGUGGUAGAAAACCAAUAAAUAUUUGCUUCGCAUGAUCACCUUCCAUAUCCAACCAAAACCAUCAUAACUUGACAUAACCAGAAAAAUGAGAAAACAACAGUAUGAUUAAAUAAAUACUGAGGGUGAAAAAUUGUCGGGAGAGCAAAAUUUAUCGAAUAUGGUUUAAGAUAGUGUCAUGCUGCAAUAAGUAAUGAAAUUAACUAAUAAAAAUCUGAAGCCACAGAAUGGCUACAUUUCUCGCAGGUGCGUUAAGGUAAUACUUGAGGUACAUUAAGGUAGUACCUGAAGACCAUUAAGGUAGUACCUUAUGUGCAUUAACGCAGUACCUGACAUUUCUUAUGAUUACAUAAGGUAUAGUUGGAGUAACCUAUAAGAACAUAACAAUGUCAUGCUGUAAUAGGUAAUGAAAUUAACUAAUAAAAAUCUGAAGCCACAGAAUGGCUACAUUUCUCGCAGGUGCGUUAAGGUAGUACCUGAGGUACAUUAAGGUAGUACUUGAAGACCAUUAAGGUAGUACCUUAUGUGCAUUAAGGUAGUACCUGAAAUUUCUUAUGAUUACAUCAGGUCGAUGGAGUCACCUAUGACAACAUAACAACGUCAUGCUACAAUAGGUAAUGAAAUGAACUAAUAAAAAUCUGAAGUCACAUAAUAGCUACAUUUCUCGCAGGUGCGUUAAGGUAGUACUUGAGGUACAUUAAGGUAGUACUUGAAGACCAUUACGGUAGUACCUUAAGUGCAUUAAGGUAGUACCUGAAAUUUCUUAUGAUUACAUAAGCUACCGAUGGAGUCGCCUAUGACAACAUAACAACGUCAUGCUACAAUAGGUAAUGAAAUGAACUAAUUGUGUUUGAAGUCAUAGAAGAGCUACAUUUCUCGCAGGUGCAUUAAGGUAGUACCAGAUGUACAUUAAUGUAGUACCUCAGGACCAUUAAGGUAGUACCUGAGGUGCAUUAAGGUAGUACAUGAAAUUUGUUAUGAUUACAUACGCCACCGAUGGAGUAACCUAUGAGAACAUAACAAUGUCAUGCUGCAAUGUGUAAUGAAAUGAACUAAUUGUGUCUUAAGUCACACAACAACAACAUUUCUCAAAUAUGCACUAAGAUAGUACCUGAUGUACAUUAAUAUAGUACCUCAAGACCAUUAAGGUGGUACAUGUUUUGCAUUAAGGUAGUACCUGAUGCGAUGAAACAAUUAUGUCUUCGUUGACAAAAGAUGUACACUACAAAUUCCAACAAACAUUACAAAUUCACAAACACUAACAACAAUUUCUACUAACCAACACAUAAUUUAUGCAUUUUAAUUUUUAUUAUUAUUAUAAUUUUUAUUUUUAUUCUCAAUAUAUAUGAUUGAAUUAUCAAGUUUUUCGUCAAUAUAUGAUAUUGCCUAAUUAUAUUCAUCAAUCUGAAUAAAUACAUAAGUUUUCCACCCAAUUUCUAAAUAUGUCCACAACAUUUUUCCAUUUCAUGAGUCUCCAAUACACAAAAAUAUUGAGAUCGAACAACCGCUCAUGCUAUCCAAAAUCGACAUUUGCCUCAACCUAUGCCCUCACCAAUGGAGGAAAAAUUGCAAAUACAACAACCACUCGAAAAUCACUCUUCUGCUCCAUUUUAAACAAAAAAAUUAUUAAAAAAACAACCCUAAAUACAAAUUAAUUACCUUCACAUUUGAUGUGAAGGUUACAGAAAAAUGUGAUCCAAUGAGAAGAACACGAGAUUUCUUCUUCAUGAACCCAAUAUAUCAGAGUUGUCGUUUCCAUUCUGAUUCGCUAUCCUAAACCAGAUUUUCAGUCAACACGUACCCGCCUCAAGCCGUCUUCUUAACUCGACCUUGUUUCAAUGAAGUGCUCCAUUUGGUUCUUCACAAUUACCACAGGCAACAAAAAUUUUGAUUCAGGUUUUCAAGUAAAGGUUUAUACUUUCAAAUGUGUGAAAUUUUGCAAAUUUUCACACCCUCUUCGAUCCGGAGGGGUGACGAAAUUGGGAUGAUCGGGUCCAAAUGGUUAGGACUUUGAGAGGAGAAGGGGCUGAAGAUAGAAAACUAGAUUGGAGUUUGGGAUUAAAGGCUUCAGAAAUUAAAUGAGAGAAAUUGUUGAAAUAUACAAGAUUCUCUGCUUUGCCUCGGUGACGGAGUGAAGACAGAUGAGAGGAAUGGCUGACAAAAUGAGAGAGAGGGAAGAAAGAACGGCUGAACGCUAGGGUUUUCUUGUGGGAACCUCUGCUUCGCCUCCAUGACAGAGUGUAGAAAGAUGAGAGGAAUGGGUACCAAAUGAGACAGAGGGAGGAACAACGGUCAGUCGCCUAGGGUGUUUUUUGGUGAGAUGGGCUGCUGACGUGGAUACCUGGAGGGGCAAGCUCGGUAGAAAAAACACAGCCGACUCAGAGUGCAUGAAUCUGAUAUAAGUUUCCACAUUAACAUAUGUUUUUCAUCUUUCACAAACCUGGGUUCCAAAAACAAUAUUAUUACCAUAUUGGCCCAUGAAAACACAACUUUCCCUUUUUUAUAUUAGUAUUAAAAUCUAAAAGCAAAAUAUAUAUAUAUAUAUAUAUAUAUAUAUAUAUAUCAUGAGUUACCUUUUUAAUAACUUAUUUAUUUUAUUUAAUGUAAUAAUAUACAUUAAUAUAAAUUAUAGUUGACUUGAGUUUUUUUUUUCUUUUUCUUUUUUAAUUUGGCAUAUGCGUGUAUUACUUUGUUAGCUUAGAGGACGAAAAACCUAUACAAAUAAUUAGUUGAAUGAAAUAAGAAGAAUGAAAUUGUAAUUUUUAGAUUACAAAAAUGAGUACAUACAUUAAUAUAUAUGAAAAUAUAUAGUGAUUAUGACAUUUGAGAACCUAUUUAUUGGAUCCAUUAUCAGUCAUUCAAUCCUAAGGCAUUCAUUUGUCGAACUCCAUGAAAUAUAGGUUUGGCCGAGUGGACAUUUCAAUACUAAACUUGUCCAAAUACAUUAAAUUGAUAUUUUUAGUAAAUGUGAUGCGCAAAAUGAAACCCACUAGGUCGAUAAUUGCCACAUUACAAACUGAUCUGCAGGCUAGUUAGGGCAAUCCCUCAAAAUUCAAAAAAAAAAAAAAAAAAAAAAAAAGAAAUAAAAAAGUGAAGCAAAUGUUAUUUUUUCAAAAAAUAAUUAUCGAGUCUGGAAAUGGUUAUUUUUCAUUUACGAAGUUUAAUCCUAUGGAAUUUAAUUUUCAUCGACUAGGAGAAUUAUUUGAUCGUAGCCACACCUAAUCUUAACGACUGUUCCACACUGUGGGCCCCAAAACUAAACCAAAUCCCUCCUGCUAUUCAACUACAUACAACCACUGCAUGCCAAGCUGUGUCUCUCAUACUUACCAAUUCUUUCUCUAGUCCAAAUUCCUAAACCCCAACAUUUGGGAUGACCAAUUUAUUACCUACACUCCUGAAGACAAGGUAAUUCAAUGAAAAUAUUUGGAAGUUAUUUUUCUUAAUUUGUUGGAUGAUAAAAUUUGUUGGUCUAGGUUACAAGUGCCUACAAAGAGGAGCAGAUUGAGAUCUGAAAAAUGAAUUGAAAAUGGAAUUAUACAUAGUGUUGACUAUAAGAAUUAGGUAUGCACAAAAUGACAAGGGACUCAAAAUUGGAUACAUUAAAUAAAAGGAAAAAGAAAGAAAAAACCCCAAUUUAUACCUUUUCCUUUCACGUCAUCAAUCCCUUUCCCUUUCACGUCAUCAAUCCCUUUCAUACAUUACUUUCAACAUUAUUGUUUUACAUUAUUUUCAACAAUAUACAAUUUCUGAAGGCCAUUGCUACCCUAUUAAUGCAAUGGAGCUUCCCAAGCUUUUGCACUCAUACUUACCAAGUCAGCUUUCAAAGUAGUGUUCUACUACCGUUCCAAAAAAUUAUCAUGGCGAGUCAAGUCUUAUCAAGCCCUCUAGGCCAAUUUUCUAAACUGGAAAAUCGUCCAGUGGCCAAUUAUCACCCUACCAUUUGGGGUGACCAGUUCAUAUCCUACACUCCUGAAGACGAGGUAAUUGAAUUAAAAUAUGUGUUAAAUCUUAUAUGGCUUAUAAAUGCCUAUAUAUUCGAAAGUUGCUUUUCUUAAUGUGUUGUUUAGUAAAAUUACUUGGUUGCCACAGGCAACACGUGCCUGCAAAGAGAAGCAGGUUGAAGAUCUGAAAGAGGAAAUUUGAAGGAAGCUAAUGAAUGCAGCUGGUAACACUUUCCAACAGCUGAAAUUUAUCGAUGCUGUGCAACGUCUUGGGGUGGCAUACCACUUUGAAAGAGAGAUAGAAGAAGUGUUACAACAUAUUUAUGAUAGCUAUCCUGAUGGUGAUGAUAUGGAAGGUGAUAUCUAUAAUGUUGCUCUUCAAUUUCGGUAACUAAGGCAAGCUGGGUUCAAUAUUUCAUGUGGUAAGAGCCCAAAGAAUGAUCAUGUGUGAGCUAAAAUCCAUCCUUCUCAUAAUUCCAAUCUUAUGUUUAAAUUAUGGUAUUUAUGUAGGCAUGUUCAAUGAGUUCAAGGAUGAAAAGGGUAACUUCAAGAAAGCUUUGGUCAGCGACGUAAGAGGCAUGCUGGGCUUGUAUGAGGCUGUGCAUCUCAGAGUUAAUGGAGAAGACAUACUGGAUGAAGCACUUGCUUUCACCACCACCCAUCUAAGGUCCAUGGUAGAACAUUUAGAAUAUCCUCUUGCGGAAGAAGUUGCUCAUGCACUAAAGCAGCCCAUUAGAAAAGGUUUAGAGAGGCUAGAGGCAAGGUGGUUUAUGUCUAUCUACUAGGAUGCACAACUCUACUAAAGCUGGCCAAGCUAGAUUUCAAUCUAGUGCAGUCCCUACACAAGGAGGAGCUAAGCAAUAUUGCUAGGUUUGCUUUCAAAUCACUAGCAGAUAUACCUAGUCACCUUCUCAUUUUACCAUGAGCUAAUUGUUUUAAUGAAUUUUAGGUGGUGGAAAGAAUUAGACUUUGCUACAAAGCUACCUUUUGCGCGAGAUAGAUUCGUGGAAGGCUACUUUUGGAUAUUUGGGGUGUACCAGGGUUCAAAGUAUUAGCCGAGUCCCAUACGACUCGACCGAGUCGUAUCUGCCUCGACACUUACCACGAUGAGUCCGAUACCAGGUACAAUCCUAUGCACUAACUCAACAUUAAAUCAGUAGGACUCAAUUGGCUUGGCUCAAAUUCCGAGUUAACUUGGUUGAAUCGGUUAAAUUACAAAAUUUUUUCUGAUUCAAAUCAGUGAUUUUUUUUCCCUUUCAAAUUAGAACAUAAAGAUCAUAAAAUUUUCCAAAAAAAUCAAAGGAAGAAGAAACAUUGAAAUUUAAUCGAGCCGUGACUUCUUUUUAAGUCUAGAAGAGGAGAGAUCAGGCAGAUGAGGGCUCACUUACCUCACCACAAUCGACGGAGCAUGAGAGUUUUGGGACCGAUGGAUCACUCCUCAGCGUCGAUUUCAGUGAACUAAGCAUUGGAUACCUUUUCCGGUGACGACGACCAUUCGGGGAGAGCUUUUAUCGCAAGUUUGCAAACUUGUAGUCAAAACAAUAUUUGGGAAAGUAAAUUAAAACUAGAAUGUUAUGAUUUAUAUGCACUAUGAGAUUUAAUGAGAAUAACUUGGAUGGCAUUUUAAUAUUUUUAAUUUAUUAUAUAAUCUAAAUUUUUUGUCUUAUAACAUUCCAAAUUAAAGUAGAAAAUCAAUAAUUAUUUAAAAAAUAUAUUUUUAAAAGAAUCAUAAUUAUAAAAACAACAUUUUAAUAAUAGGUUUAUAUUAGGGAAUCAAUAAUUAUUUUUGUAUGUUAUAAAGAUUACAUUUAUACUUGAAUUAUUUUUAAUUUUUUAUAUCAUAUAAAUUUUUUAUCUUAUAAUAUUGUAAAUUUUAAUUAUAUUAGGAAAUCAAUGAAUGAUUUUAUAACUAUUUAAAUGAUGUUAGUUAUGAGAUAAUUUUUUUUUAUAUUAUUUUUUACCUUAUUUACUUACUUGUACCUAUUUUUUUAAAAUAAUUUACAUAAUAUUUUUAAAAUUUUUAAAAUUUUCUAAUUAUCAUAUUUUGCGUAUCUUCCGAUACCAAACCGAUACACUGAGAUCGAUGUGCCUCAAGAUCGUCCGAGUCAAUGAUCGAUACUGCGACUUUGAAUCAUGAGGUGUACUUUGAGCCUCAAUAUGUCCGGGCUAGAUGAAUUCUAACCAAAACAAUUUCCAUGACAUCCAUUAUAGAUGAUAUAUAUGACACAUAUGGCACAUUUGAAAAACUCGAGCUCUUCACCGAGGCCAUUGAGAGGUUUGAUUGAUGCAAAUUACCAACCUUCAUCAUUUAUAUUGUAUGUGAUACUUAAAUCAAGCCUGGUUUUAUUUUCAGGUGGGAUAUUAACAGCAUAGAUCACCUUCCAGAAUACAUGAAACACUGCUAUGUGGCACUCUUAGAUGUGUACAAGAGAUGGAGAAAAAAGGAAACCAAUAUCGGGUUCAAAAUGCGAUAGAAGCAGUAGGACAUUCUGCAUUGACUUUGUUUUGUAUAGUAACAUAUCGUAAGGAUAUGGAUGUAACUUGAUUGAAUGUUUGACAGAUGAAAAACCUAGUUAGAGCUUAUUUUCAUGAGGCUAAUUGGUUCCAUGAAGGAAGCAUACCAACAAUGGAAGAGUAUAUGAGGAUAGCACUGGUAACCUCAGGUUACUACAUGCUUACAACCAUGUCUUUCAUUGGUAUGGGAGAAAUUGUAACAAAGGAGGCCUUUGAUUGGGUGAUCAGUGACCCUAAGAUUAUCACAGCAUCAGCUGUAAUUUGUAGGCUCAUGGAUGACAUCAGUUCACAUAAGGUAUUGUGAAUAUAGUAUUUCUUGUUAAGCUAUAAUUUGACCUUGACCUUAAAGCUCAAUCAAUUAAACAUAUUUACUGUACUCUUCUUCUAAACUAUAUAUGCAGUUUGAGCAAAAGAGAGGGCAUGUUGCCUCAGGCAUUGAAUGUUACAUGAAGCAAUAUGGUGCCUCUGAGGAAGAGGCAUACGAUGAGUUUCAGAAGCAAGUUGUGGAUGCAUGGAGGGAUAUUAACGAGGAGUUCCUACGACCUACAGUUGUUCCGAUGCCUCUCCUAAUGCGUGUGCUUAAUCUUUCUCGAGUGAUGGAUGUGAUCUACACGGGGGGAGAUGGGUACACUCAUGUUGGAAAAGUGAUGAAGAACAAUGUUGCAUCACUGCUCAUUCACCCUAUUGUAUGACCAAAUGGAUCAAGUUGAUCACCAUCUACAUAUUCUGCCUUACCUAGGGAGUAGGAUGAAUAAAAAUUAUUGUAAUAGUAUGGGAGAGACCUAUAAUGCUGUGACCCUAAGAUUAUCACAGCAUCAGCUGUAAUUUGUAGGCUCAUGGAUGACAUCAGUUCAUAUAAGGUAUUGUGAACAUAGUAUUUCUUGUUAAGCUAUAAUUUGACCUUGACCUUAAAGCUCAAUCAAUUAAACAUAUUUACUGCACUCAUUUGUGCGAUUCUUUUUCUUGGUAUCCAUGAUUAAUUAAUUAAUUGUCAUAAUUCUCUUAAUUCGUUUUGUAGAGAUCAUAUGUAUACGGACUUCAAAGGGUGCUACGGCUCACCAUUGUACAUUCCCAAGUAACCUGAUAAUCGGAUCUAGAUUCGAUUUUUGUAAACAUGUAUUUUUCAAAUAAGAAGUCACACAUGAUUUUCUUUUUAUUUUGUUUUUCCUUAAAAAAAAACUAAAAUAAAUAGCGACUAACUUUUCAAAAAUCAAUUUUUCACAAUGAAAAAGCGAGUCUCGCCAUUUUAAGUGGGGACACACAUGAAAAAUGCGGGUCCAUAAUGAGUUUAAUUAUUUCUAAAUUCAAAGGAUUAUAAAAAUUUAUUUAUAUAAAAAAAGGAUAUUCCAUUUUGAUGAUUCCAAUCUAUUUUAAGUACCAAAGAAAGUUUUGAUUUUUUUUCUUAUUUACAAAAAAAUGCUUCAAAGUUCUUAAUUUUCACAAAUUUUAUUUACCAACAUUCCAAUUUGAUUUUCAUACAGAAAGAAACUAUUUUUAUAAUUUUUAUUAAAAUAUGAUUUUUUUUUCAAUUUUUUUAAAAAAGUAUCUAAAUCUAAUCUUAUGUCCAUGAGAAUACUUUUACAAAUUCUUUAAGAAACGGAUUUUAAAAAUUUAUUUUUAAAAAAAAUUACAAUUUUAUUUAGAAAAUAAUAAAUAUUCGGAUCCAAUUUUAAUUACAUAAAAAAAUUAUUUUUUUAGUUUUUAUUGAAAAUAAGAUUUUUACAAUUUUAUUUACAUAAGUAUGAAAAUCCAAUUCCAUAUUAUUUACUAAAAUGCAUUUUUUUUUUUACUAUUUUUAAUAAGACAUGAUUUUUACAAUUUUUUUUUAAAGUUUACGAUUUUUAUUAAAAAAAAAAAAGUCUUUGCAAUUUUUUUUAACAAAUUUUUUAAUGUUUUAUUAAAACAAAAUGAUUUCUAGAUUUUAUUUUUUUUUAAAAUGAUUUUCAAAAGUUUAAAAAAAAAAAAAAACCUUUACAGUUUUAUUUAAAAAAAAAAAAACGAUUUUCCAACUGUAUUUACAAUUUAUUUAAAAACGGAUUUUACAGUUUAAAAAAAAAUACAUUUUAUUGUUUUAUUUCAAUCUUACUGUUGUUUUUAUUUUUUUGGAAAAAAAAAAAAAAAAAGAGAAGCUCAAAUUUAUUUUUCUCCUCUCUCUCUCUCUCCCUCCACACGCUCAUUAACUUUAAUGUCAAGGUAUCAGCCCAAUUGACUUGAUUUAUAUUAACUUAAAACUUUUGUUCUAAUAGGUACCUUCAUAUAACGGCAAAGCCUUUGAUUUAUAUAGGAAGUCAUGGAGGUGAACUGUGAACCUUAGUGAUGCGUACCCAAACCCUACCAUUUAUUUGUAAUAUAGUCAUCAUAAUAUUUAAAUUAAACAUUUAAAAUAUGUUUUUUGUUCUCUUAGAAAUACGAAAAGUGUAUCUUAUUCCCUUAAUAAUUCUCAACAUUCAACCAGCCGCCAAACAGUGAUUAAGACUUUUUCACGUGAAGAUAAAACUUAUGAUUGAUCUUAUUUUUAUAAAAACACUAAAAAACGAUUUUUUUUAUCUUUAACUUAAAAAUGGUUUUUAAAAAUAAUUUUUAGAAAACAUAAAUUAAACAGACUCUUAGGGUUUCAUUUGAGAAAUAAAUGAAGAAGAUUACAAAAAAAUUGAAAAUAAAUAAAGAAGAUGAUAUUUUAAUUUUUAUUUAAUAUCUUAAUUUUUAUUAUCUAAAAUUAUUUAAUUAUUCUAAUUAAUGAUAUUUUGAGUUUAAUUAUGAUUAAAAUAUAUAAAAGUCUUAAAUUGAGAUAAGUUGCUUAAAUGAUUGAUUGUGGAUUGAAAUUUUACUCACAAAAUAUGCAUGUGGCUUUCGCUUGAAAAGGCAUAUGUUGGGAAGCAGUUAUGCUUGGUUACGAGUUCUAUAAGCUUACGAUUUUAGAUUUGCAUGAUUAUCUUAAUUUGGAUUAGACAGCUACGGAGAAGGGGCCUUUAUUCAAACUGUUUGUCUUAUUCUCAACAAAGGAAGCAUUUUAUUUAAAACAGAACACUCUAAGAAAAACUAACAGCCAAAUUAAAACAAUUAGGCCAUGUUUGGUACGAAGCCAAAGCAAUUAGGUCAUGUUUAGCAUGAAGCCAAAUCACGACCAUGUUUGGUAUAUAGAAAUGAAGAGUAAGAAUAGAUAUGUUAUUUAUUUUCUCAUUCAUUUUCAUAUUUGGAUGAUUUAAGUAUAGUAAAAAUAAAAUAAAAAAUAAUUUCAAAGAAAUGAAACAAGUUAUUCUUAAAAACACUUUUUAAAAGUUAAAAAUCAAAAACUUUUUUAGAUAAGUCCGUUUUAAAAAUAAUUUUUUAUUUUGAUUUUGUAAAAAAGAAAUUAUAAAUUCAAUUUAUAUAAUAUAAAAUUAAUUUAAUUCAAGUCUUAUAAAAAAUAAAAAUAACUUUGUAAUUAUAAAUACAUUUUUAAAUUAAAUAUUUUUUAAUAAAAUAUGAAUAGGAUUAUCAUAAUAUAAUCAUAAAUUAUAUUUUUAAUAAAUAUUAUAAAAAAUAUGGAUAUUAACCUCUUAUAAAAGCAUAAUUGAUUUAUUUUGUUAAAAAUAAAUAAUAAUGAUUUAAAAUUAAUAAUUACUAAUACUAUUUUUUAAAAUUAUUAUACUUACUACUUUGUUUUAAAAAAUUAUUUCUCAAGAACAAUAAUCGAUAGUGGUAUUAAUUUUUAAAAACAAUUUUAUUUUUAAAUGAAAAGCCUAAACAGGUUUUUAUUAUUUAGCAAAAAAAAAAAAAAAAAACACUGUCAAACAUUUUUUUAAAAUGAAAAUAAAAAAAUUAUUUAAAAUGAUGUAUUGUGUAAGAGAUUUUUUUUAAAAUAAAAAUAAAAGAUUAAAGAUACUAUAAAUUAUGAUUAAAAUAAUGAAAAUUAAUAAAAUGAUAUUGGCUUUUUUUUUUAAAUACAUUCGAAAUAUUAAUCUAAAAAAAGAAGAUAAAUGAAUAAUAUAUUGAAAAAUAUAACUUUGUCUUUUUUCUUACAAUAAUUUUCAUAGCUUUAAAAAUAGUGAUCUUUAAUUUUCUUGCUAUUAUUUAUUAUUAGCUGAGUUGUAUAAAUUACAUUGUUAUAGUUUCCUUUAAAACCAAAAUAAAAAUCAAUCCAUGUGGUUCAAUGACAAUAUUGGCUGAAAAAAAAAAAUCACUUAAUUUUCAUCUACUAGAUCCUAGCCGCCACCUAAUAUUUAUGACUUGUUUGGAUAUUUUGAGUGAAUUUAACCAAAGAGACACUAGAAGGCCAAUAGUUUUCUUGCCAUCAGUCUCUUCCAUGCACUACCCUUUCAAAUCAUGGGCCCCAAAACCAAACCAAAUUCCACAUACUUUUCAACUACAUACAACCAAUGAAUGCCAAUGCUGCCCUAUAAAUAUGGAGCUUGCCAAGCUAUUUCUCUCAUACUUACUGUAACGCCGAAGUAUUUUUUUAAGGGUAAUUUAGGAAAUUACUAAUAAUAAUUCAAUUAGUUAAUUAAUUAAUUUAAUAAAGUGGAAGAUGGGUAAAAGUGUAAUUUUAUGAAUAAAUACCCUAGGUAUAAAUUAGAAAUUCUAUUUCUUCCUGUUCUUUUCUGAAUAGAAUUCCUGUUCGCAGAAUUUCAGAGAACGUAGAUUGAAGUUAGAUUUCAGGGUUGAAGAACAGAUCUCUAUAGGUAAGAUUCAGUUUAAUAUUUUAGAUUCAUUGAUUAAUUUCAAACACAUUAGAUAUCUUUUGGAAAACCCAAAUCUAGAUUAGGGUUAGUUUAUUUUAUUUUUUUUAAUUCGUUUUCAUAUCAAUAGUAAAAAAAUAAAAAAAAUAAAAAAAUAAAAAUAAAAAUUUAAGAUUUUGAUUUAUUGUUGGUAUUUAGGAGAUCUUAAGUUUUAUUAGAUGAAAAACAAAAAAAAGGUUCCUUGGAAGGUUUCGAUUUUAUAUUAGGGUUAAUUUUAUUAAAAAAAGAAAAAGGGCGUGCGCCAAAUGAAAGGAAGCCUUAUAUAUAUAUAUAAUGAAUCAUGAUGAUGGCAAUGGAAAAAAAAAAACUUGCUUUUUGGUUUGGUGUACCCGAGACAACUAGGUAAUGGUUGAGUGACUUUUGAAUUGGUUAAUUAAAAUAAUAAUAUUUAGUUUAAGAUUCAUAAUUAAGAUAAUAGUAAUAAUAGUCUUCUUUUUUUUGUAAUAAAUAGAAUGAGAGAUUUAGCAAAAUAUAUAUAUAUAUAUAUAUAUAUAUAUAUAGAAUUUUAUAAUGAAAUAAAAUUGUAAUUUAAUUAAAUUAGUAAUGUGUUAUUAGAAACAAAUUGAGAAUUUAUUAAUUUUAUUUAAAUAAGGAAUAGAUUAGUUAAAUUAUAGAUAAAUAGUAAUAAUUAUUUAUCUUAUGUUAUAUUAGGAGAAGAGUAGAUUUUUCCAGAAUUAUUUUUCUCCCAAGCUUUCAAGGUCUUUGCAUAAUUUGAGGUAAGGGAAGUUAAUGCAAUAUUUAUAAAAUUUAAAUUAUUUUAUAUGUUAUUUUGAAUUGUGGAAAAGAAAAUGAUAUUUUGUUACCAUGCAUGGAUCAAAUUGUUUUGCACUAAAUAUUAUGUUGGAAUAUUUUGUUUUAUUUAUGACACAAAAUAUGGAGAUAUUAUGUUGUGUAAAUUUGAAUACUUGAACAAAAACAUCACUCUGGUUUAUUUGACCCUUGUCAACGAGAUAUAAUAGUUGACUAUUCGGCCCUGUCAACAGGAUAUAAUAGUUGACCUUUACAUUUCAUGGUAAGAAUGUAAUUGAUUUGGACCCCAGCCUCUAGGGGUUUGGUUAGAGGUUACUAGUAGUAGUAGUGUUUGGUUCCGUCCACCAGGAACAACUUGAGGCUAGCCACCCAUUUGAAAAGUCCCACCUAACUGGGCAUUUGAUAUUUGAUAACCAGAGUAAUGAAAAUUGAAUGGAUUUGAUUGAAUCUUAUGUGAAAGUGUUUGAAUUUGAUAUGAAAAUGGUUGGUUGAAUUUUGAAUAUAUUGGUAUUUUUGAAACUCUGAUAUUUGAUGAGAAAAAAAAAUGAUAUCUCCUAUUUGAAAUGAAAAUAUUUUUCCAUGAACUGCAUUAAUAUUCCUUACUGGGCUGUGAGCUCAUUCCCAAUUGUUGAAAACUUUUCAGGUACUCUUAGUUCGGGUGAGGAGUGAUGGCUAGGAUGAGGAAUGGUCAUCAUUAGGAUUUGACUUAGGAUUUUAUGUUGGAUUUUGUUUAACUGUUAGUUAUGUUCAUUUGGACCCUUUGGUAUUUGGAAGUUAUUUGGAUAUUGAUCCUUCAAAUUUUAUGUUAGAUCAAAGUUGAGUUUUGGAGAUUUUGAAAUUUGUUCUAGUACUUGAAUUGUUUAAGUUUGCAAAUAUUUGGAUAAUGGAUUUUGGAUAGUGGAUGUUUUAGUUUUGAAAUUGAAUUUUGAGGAUUUUAGAUUUUGUUCCGCUACUCUGAAUAGGUAUUUGGUAAUUAGUAACUUCCGAUUACAAGAUAAUUGUUUGGGUCGGGUUACACUGUAAGCCUUCGGGUUUGAAGUGUGAAAUGACCGUCACGCUCUUGGAGUGGGUCUUGGGGCGUGACAGAGUGGUAUCAGAGCACUAGGUUUUGAUCUUGAUGGGAAUUUGAAUUGGUUUAGAUUGGGGAUAGAUGAGUGACGCAUUUGUUUAAGUUUUAGUUUCAUUUAGUAUAAAUUCCAAUUCUUUCUUUAUUUGUAAAUUUUCUAAUUGGUUCUUUAGUGACUAAAUUAGUUAUGCCUUAUUAUUUUAGGACAUCAUGCCACCAAGAAGAGCAACUUCUUCACAAAAUAGUCAGAUUAAUGAUGAUGUACCUCCAGUUGAGGGUUUGCCUCCCGUGAGUGCAAAAGGGAUCUAUAGGUAUCUUGGGACACUAGCUGGUUUAGUUGAACGCCAAGCUCGAGCUGUUGGGACUAAUGUUCAGGGACAGACUUCAUCUUCUAGGGGUAACUCUUUUGAUGACUUCAAGAAAUUGGGUCCUCCUUACUUUUCUGGUGCUACAGAUCCCACAGAGGCAGAGGCUUGGAUCCUUAAGGUGGAGAAAUUCUUUGGUGUCAUAGAUUGCUCUGAGGAGCAAAAAGCCUCUUAUGCAGCUUUUAUGUUAGAUAAAGAGGCAGAUCAUUGGUGGCGUAUGACUAGGAGACUUUUGGAGGAUCAGGGACCCAUAACAUGGAGACAAUUUAAGGAGGCUUUCUACAAGAAGUAUUUCCCUGACAGUGUUAGGCGGCAGAAGGUGGGAGAGUUUAUUCAUUUGGAACGGGGAGAUAUGACUGUGGCUCAAUAUGAGGCCAAAUUUACAGAGUUAUCAUGUUUUUCCCCACAGUUGAUUGCUACAGAGGAGGAAAAGGCAUUAAAGUUUCAGGAUGGAUUGAAGCCUUAUUUGAAGAACAAGAUAUCUAUUCUGAAGCUUGGUGUCUAUUCAGAGGUUGUUGACAGAGCCCUUAUAGCAGAGAAAGAUAAUGAGGAGCUUCAUCAGUAUAGGGAACAACAAAGGAAGUGAAAUAGGAGUGAUAGUGCUCAUGGUAAUCAAGCACAGCGAAGGUCUACAUCAGGAAGAAAUCAGAAUAAAGGGAAUGCAACGCAUUAUUUAGAUGGGGCUUGUCCUACUUGUGGUAAGAAGCAUGGGGGUAGGCCAUGCUAUAGAGAGACUGGAGCUUGCUUUGGUUGUGGGAAGCAAGGACAUUUGAUCAGAGAUUGUCUAGAGAAUAGGAAGUUCAUCAAUGGGAAGCCUAAAGAGGAAAAUAAGGAGGAUAAACAGAAACCCAAAGCCCAAGAACGGGUGUUUUCUUUGACUCAUCGAGAUGCUCAGGCCACUUCUGAUGUGGUAACAGGUACUCUCCGAAUCCACACCUUAUUUGCUAGAGUCUUGAUUGAUCCUGGAUCAACACACUCUUUUGUUUCAGUAUCUUUUGCCAGUUUGUUGGGUUUGCCUGUUGCUAGCAUGGACUUUGAUUUGAUUGUUACUACUCUUGUGGGAGAUUCUGUUGUGGUCAGUAGAAUGCUUAGAAAUUGUAUUGUGAUGAUUGGUUAUAGGGAAAUGCCAGUUGACUUAGUACUCCUUGAUCUUUAGGAUUUUGAUGUGAUUUUGGGGAUGGAUUGGUUAGCUUCCUACCAUGCCUCUGUUGACUAUUUUGAGAAAAUGGUGACGUUUAGUAUUCCUGGUCAGCCUAAGUUUAGCUUUGAAGGGAAGCAUGUGGACAGACCACUGCGUAUGAUCUCAGCCUUGCGAGCUAGUAGCUUGCUCAAGAAGGGUUGCCAAGGAUUUUUGGCUAGUGUGAUGAGUAAUGAAAGUGAUUUGAAGUUGGAAAACAUACCCAUAGUAAGGGAGUAUGUUGAUGUCUUUCCAGAGGAUUUGCCUGGCUUGCCACCAGAGAGAGAGGUGGAGUUUACCAUCGAUUUGGUACCAGGAACAGGUCCUAUGUCUAAGGCCCCAUACAAGAUAGCACCUGUGGAGCUUAAGGAGUUGAAAGUUCAGCUUCAAGAGUUAUUAGACAAGGGUUUUAUCAGGCCUAGUGUUUCACCUUGGGGAGCUCCUGUUCUAUUUGUAAAAAAGAAGGAUGGCUCAAGGAGACUUUGCAUUGACUAUAGGGAGUUGAAUAAGGUGACAGUGAAGAACAAGUAUCCCCUUCCUCGGAUUGAUGAUUUGUUUGAUCAGCUAUAAGGUGCUUGUGUGUUCUCUAAGAUAGAUCUUCAAUCGGGUUAUCACCAGUUGAGGGUUAGAGGGGAAGAUGUACCCAAGACUGCUUUUCGAACUAGGUAUGGGCACUAUGAGUUUCUUGUUAUGCCUUUUGGUUUGACUAAUGCACCUGCUACUUUUAUGGACUUGAUGAAUAGGGUAUUCAAACCCUAUUUAGAUCAGUUUGUGGUGGUUUUUGUAGAUGACAUCUUGGUAUACUCAAGAAGUAGAGAGGAGCAUGAGGGCCAUUUGAGUAUUGUAUUACAGACCCUCAGAGAUAAGCAGUUGUAUGCUAAACUGAAGAAGUGUGAGUUUUGGUUAGACCGAAUUNNNNNNNNNNNNNNNNNNNNNNNNNNNNNNNNNNNNNNNNNNNNNNNNNNNNNNNNNNNNNNNNNNNNNNNNNNNNNNNNNNNNNNNNNNNNNNNNNNNNAACGAAGAAGUUGCAGCCAUUACAAGCCAGUCACUCUAAAGUGUUGCGGAAUCAGCCUUUUGUUGCGAGAAUUUCGCAGCACUUUUGUACAGUAAGGUGUUUCUCCUUCUGACGAUGCACGAACCAUGCCGCGAGAAGGGAGCUGGAAACUUCAAGAUGGAAGCCAACUUUGCAGCCUAGUGAAGAUAGCUCGGUCUUGCAAGAUAAUUUCGCAGCCCUCUUGGGUGUCUGCGAAAUUUCGCAGGCCCCACUUUUCACCUGCGAAAUGGCUCCUGAAGCCUCCCGAAGCUUGCUACCGACAUUGGGAGAUAUUUUCCAUUAGAUUUUUGUUGUCUAAAUCCCAAAAUACUCCUUGUAAACCACCAAUUACAUGAUUCCUUAGUUUUUAGGUUAGUAAAAAGACCAAAUAUCUUUGUAAGAAUUAGUUUUAUAUUAGUUUGAUAUAAAUACCUCUCGGGAGCCUGUUCUCGGGGAGGAGUUCCUUCUGUAAACAUUUGGUAAGGAAGUAAAGGUCUUUUCUUUCUACUGCCUUACCUUCUCACUUUGUAUUUUCAUUAUAUUUCUAAGUUAUGAAUUCUCUGAGGAGUUUUCCCCAGAGAAUGAGUAACUAAACCUCCAAUUCCUUGGAGCUAAGGUUGCCGGGGAAGGUUCCAAGUGCAAAAAUGCAAAGCUCUGUGGUUUUAGCUAGUAAUGAAGAGGAAGUGAAAUCCUUUAGUGAUUUCAAUGUUUUUAGUUAACUUAAAACACCUUGGAGUCACCUGGGCCAACACUUGGUAAGGCAAGUGAUUUCCAACCGUGGAAAUGCACUAGUUUACCCCUUGCGAGCCUCUGGUAGGUGACUUCAAGGUAGGAUUUUCCGGAAUUACCAACACUUGGUAAGCUUUUGGACUCCUAGGAGACAUCCAUUAGUUAUCUCUUGCGAGUUUGUGAAGGGAAGUCCAAGGUUAAAGAUCACCUUGAAUGGUAAGUGCUCGUGAGAGGCAUGAACCAUUGCAAGGUGCAUCAGUGAGAGAAUUAAAGUGAAAUCUAAUUGAAGGAGUCUCUGUACAUCACCGGUUAGAGACUUGACUCUAAGUUGAAUCUCUAAUGCGAGGAAAUGAACCAUCUGACCAGAGCUAUGUCUUUUGCAUGAGGAACCACCCCAGUGAACCUAAAUCUCCNNNNNNNNNNNNNNNNNNNNNNNNNNNNNNNNNNNNNNNNNNNNNNNNNNNNNNNNNNNNNNNNNNNNNNNNNNNNNNNNNNNNNNNNNNNNNNNNNNNNAAAUCAAAGUUUGUGUUUUAUUUCUUAAACUAACCGUGAAAUGAAACAAAACCAAUUCACUUGGAAUUGGUAUCCUUGAUUGCUUGCAAAUCAUUCCUAGUGAACGAUCCUUAGAGCCACUAUACUAUAGUAGCUUUGUAUUUGCUACCCUAGUGUAUGGUGUUAUAGGUAUAAAUUUUGUUGAUCACUUCCUCAAUCAAGGAGCACCAGCUGAACACAAAUCAGCUGAGACACCAAUUGGGCAUGAGUCAGAGAUCUUGAGAUUUGGGACUAGACUUUGUGUCCCAAAUGAUGAAGACUUAAGAAGGGAGCUUUUAGAGGAAGCUCAUUGUUCCAAGUUUGCAAUCCACCCAAGAGGGACAAAGAUGUACAAGGAUUUGAGGCAAAACUAUUGGUGGUCAGGUAUGAAGCAUGAUAUUGCACAAUUUGUGGCUCAGUGUUUAGUGUGUCAACAGGUGAAGGCUGAGCAUCAGCGACCAGCAGGGUCUUUGCAGCCACUUGCUAUUCCUGAGUGGAAGUGGGAGCAUAUUACCAUGGAUUUUGUGAUAGGAUUGCCAAGAACCUUAGGGAGUAAUAAUGCUAUUUGAGUGGUUGUUGAUCGGUUGACAAAGUCUGCUCACUUUUUGCCUAUGAAAGUCAACUUUUCUUUAGAUCGUUUAGCUUUUCUUUAUGUGAAGGAGAUUGUGAGAAUGCAUGGAGUACUAGUUUCUAUAGUGUCUGAUAGAGAUCCUCGUUUCACUUCUAGAUUCUGGCAUAGUCUAUAAAAAGCUUUGGGCACUAAGUUGAGUUUUAGUACUGCUUUCCAUCCUCAAACUGAUGGUCAAUCAGAAAGGGUAAUUCAGGUUUUAGAAGACUUGUUGAGAGCUUGUAUUUUGGACUUGCAAGGUAAUUGGGAUGAUCAUUUACCUUUAGUAGAGUUUGCCUAUAACAAUAGUUUUCAAGCUAGCAUUGGGAUGUUACCUUUUGAGGCAUUGUAUGGUAGGAAAUGUCGAUCUCCUAUCUGUUGGAAUGAUGUUGGAGAAAGGAAACUUUUGGGGCCUGAACUUGUGCAGUUGAUUGUUGAAAAAGUUGCUUUGAUUAAAGAAAGAUUAAAAGCAGCUCAAAGUAGACAUAAGAGUUAUGCUAAUCAUCGUAGGCGAGAUUUGGAGUUUGAGGUGGGUGAUAUGUGUUCUUGAAAGUUUCACCUAUGAAGUCUGUGAUGAGAUUUGGGAGAAAAGAAAAACUUAGUCCUCGUUUUGUGGGUUCGUUUGAAAUAUUAGAAAGAGUAGGCACUUUGGCAUAUAAAGUAGCCUUGCCCCCAAGUCUAUCUAAGAUUCAUAAUGUUUUCCAUGUUUCAACCUUGAGGAAGUAUAUUUAUAAUCCAUCUCAUGUUGUGGAGUUGGAGCCUAUUCAAAUUUCGGAGGACUUGACCUAUGAAGAGGUACCCGUUCAAAUUGUGGAUGUGAUGGAUAAGGUACUGCGACAUGUUGUUGUCAAGUUGGUAAAGGUCCAGUGGAGCAAUCAUAGUAUCCGAGAGGCCACUUGGGAGUUAGAAGAAGAGAUGAGAGAAAAACAUCCUCAAUUAUUUCAAGACUCAAGUAUGUCAAGUUUAGAAGACUAAACUUUUGUUAAGAAGGGGAGGAUGUAACGCCCAAGUAUUUUUUUAAGGGUAAUUUAGGAAAUUACUAAUAAUAAUUCAAUUAGUUAAUUAAUUAAUUUAAUAAAGUGGAAGAGGGGUAAAAGUGUAAUUUACAAAUAAAUACCCUAGGUAUAAAUUAGAAAUUCUAUUUCUUCUUGUUCUUUUCUGAAUAGAGUUCCUGUUCGCAUGAAUUUCAGAGAACAUAGGUUGGAGUCAGAUUUCAAGGUUGAAGAACAGAUCUCUAUACGUAAGAUUUUAACCCCUAGUUUAAUAUUUUAGAUUCAUUGAUUAAUUUCAAACACAUUAGAUAUCUUUUGGAAAACCCAAAUCUAGAUUAGGGUUAGUUUUUAUUUUUUUUUUAUUUUUUUUUUUUAAUUCGUUCUAAUAUCAAUAGUAAAAAUAAUAAUAAUAAUAAUAAAAAUUUAAAAAAAAUUUAAGAUUUUGAUUUAUUGUUGGUAUUUGGGAGAUCUUAAGUUUUAUUAGAUGAAAAAAAAAAAAGGUUCCUUGGAAGGUUUCAAUUUUAUAUUAGGGUUAAUUUUAUUAAAAAAAGAAAAGGGGCGUGUGCCAAAUGGAAGGAAGCCUUAUAUAUAUAUAUAUAUAUAUAUAUAAUGAAUCAUGAUGAUGGCAAUGGAAAAAAAAAAAAAAACUUGCUUUUUGGUUUGGUGUACCCAAGACAACUAGGUAAUGGUUGAGUGGCUUUUGAAUUGGUUAAUUAAAAUAAUAAUAUUUAGUUUUAGAUUAAUAAUUAAGAUAAUAGUAAUAAUAGUCUUUUUUUUUUUUGUAAUAAAUAGAAUGAGAGAUUUAGCAAUAUAUAUAUAGAAUUUUAUAAUGAAAUAAAAUUGUAAUUUAAUUAAAUUAGUACUGUGUUAUUAGAAACAAAUUGAGAAUUUAUUAAUUUUAUUUAAAUAAGGAAUAGAUUAGUUAAAUUAUAGAUAAAUAGUAAUAAUUAUUUCUCUUAUGUUAUAUUAGGAGAAGAAUAGAUUUUUCCUGAAUUAUUUUUCUCCCAAGCUUUCAAGGUCUUUGCAUAAUUUGAGGUAAGGGAAGUUAAUGCAAUAUUUAUAAAAUUUAAAUUAUUUUAUAUGUUAUUUUGAAUUGUGGAAAAGAAAAUGAUAUUUUGUUACCAUGCAUGGAUCAAAUUGUUUUGCACUAAAUAUUAUGUUGGAAUAUUUUGUUUUAUUUAUGACACAAAAUAUGAAGAUAUUAUGUUGUGUAAAUUUGAAUACUUGAACAAAAACAUCACUCUGGUUUAUUUGACCCUUGUCAACGAGAUAUAAUAGUUGACUAUUCGGCCCUGUCAACGGGAUAUAAUAGUUGACCUUUACAUUUCAUGGUAAGAAUGUAAUUGAUUUGGACCCCAACCUCUAGGGGUUUGGUUAGAGGUUACUAGUAGUAAUAGUAUUUGGUUCCGUCCACCAAGAACAAUUUGAGGCUAGCCACCCAUUUGAAAAGUCCCACCUAACUGGGCAUUUGAUAUUUGAUAACUAGAGUAAUGAAAAUUGAAUGGAUUUGAUUGAAUCUUAUGUGAAAGUGUUUGAAUUUGAUAUGAAAAUGGUUGGUUGAAUUUUGAAUAUAUUGGUAUUUUUGAAACUCUGAUAUUUGAUGAGAAAAAAAAAAUGAUAUCUCCUAUUUGAAAUGAAAAUAUUUGAUCCAUGAACUGCAUUAAUAUUCCUUAUUGGGUUGUGAGCUCAUUCCCAAUUGUUGAAAAAUUUUCAGGUACUCUUAGUUCGGGUGAGGAAUGAUGGCUAAGCUGAGGAAUGGUCAUCAUUAGGAUUUGACUUAGGAUUUUAUGUUGGAUUUUGUUUAACUGUUUGUUAUGUUCAUUUGGACCCUUUGGUAUUUGGAAGUUAUUUGGAUAUUGAUCCUUCAAAUUUUAUGUUAGACCAAAGGUGAGAUUUGGAGAUUUUGAAAUUUGUUCUAGUACUUGAAUUGUUUAAGUUUGCAAAUAUUUGGACAAUGGAUUUUGGAUAGUGGAUGUUUUAGUUUUGAAAUUGAAUUUUGAGGAUUUUAGAUUUUGUUCCGCUACUCUGAACAGGUAUUUGGUAAUUGGUAACUUCCGAUUACAAGAUAAUUGUUUGGGUCAGGUUACACUGUAAGCCUUCGGGUUUGAAGUGUGAAAUGACCGUCAUGCCCUUGGAGUGGGUCUUGAGGCGUGACACUUACCGAUUCAUCAUUCAAGGUAUAGAACUGUUCUAUCAUUGAUCCAAGGAAUUAACAUGUCUACUCAAGUCUCAGCAUCUUCUCUAGCCCAGAUUCCCAAACCCAAAAAUCGUCCUGGCAAACUUUCACCCCAACAUUUGGGGUGACCAAUUUAUCACCUGCACUCCUGAAGACUAUGCAUCAAUUAUAAAUUUGACAGUUAUUUUUCUUAAUAUGUUGGAUGAUAAAAUUUGUUGGUCAAGGUUACACGUGCUUGCAAAGAGGAGCAGAUUGAGGAUCUGAAAAAGGAAGUGAAAAGGGAAUUAACGGUUGUUGUUGUUGCUAACCCUUCCCAAUUGCUGAACUUCAUUGAUGCAUACCACUUUGAGCAAGAGAUAGAAGAAGCAUUACAACAAAUUUGUAAUAGUUUUCAUGAUUGCAAUGAUAUGGAUGGUGAUCUCUACAAUAUUGCUCUUGGAUUUCGACUACUAAGGCAACAAGGGUACAGUAUUUCAUGUUGUAAGAGACUAAGAAAAAAUUGUUAUGUUAAACCUUCUUAUCAUUCAAAAUCUUAUGUUCAAGUGGUGAUGUUUAUGUAGGUAUAUUGAACAAGUUUACGGAUGAAUGAGGUAGAUUCAAGGAAGCUUUGAUCAACGAUGUAAGAGGCAUGCUAGGCUUGUAUGAAGCUGCACAUCUGAGGGUUCAUGGUGAGGACAUACUUGCAGAAGCACUUACUUUCACCACCACUCACCUCGAGGCCAUGGUAGAAAGUUUAGGAUAUCCUCUUGCAGAACAAGUUGCCCAUGCCCUGAACCGACCAUUAGAAAAGGUUUGGAGAGGUUAGAGGCAAGAUGGUAUUUAUCUGUCUACCAAGUGUUGGUUUAAGGGUAUGGAAACAAAGGACUAACUCAAAAGACACAAACAAAAAACAUAAUGAAUAGUAAGAAAAACUUAUUAGUUGAGGCGUGACAAACACUGUUCUUGAAAUAGAUCCACCCUCUUCGAAAACGAACUGAAUGCACUAAGGUGCCAGUGGUCUACCUCCAGGAUUCAAUAGCCAGAUCUUGCCUUGGGUGCACUCUAUAAGUGAGACAUGUACAACUUGGUUUUGAAAAAAUUCCUCCAAAAAGAUGUAUGAAAGACUCUCUGAAAAAUUGGUAUUCAAAGAGUAAAAGGUGACCUGCUUUUAUAGGUCACCAACACAGUCCUAAUGGGACUCUACUUGUAAUCAGAGGACUCAAAGUGGAAUGAGAUUCUACUUAUAAGUGAAACAGGACUCUAUUAGCACAAUCCCAAUGGGAUUCUUCCCAAAGGUAAAAGACUAAGUCAAAUGGAAUAAAAAUUAAAUAAAAAAAAUUGAAUUUUGUAAAAAUUAGUCAAAUUCGCUAAAACACUUUUUCACAUUUACACUCUUCCUACACCAAGAUGAAGCUUUCCAUGAUAAAACUUUACCAGAGCUAGCCAAAUUAGAUUUCAAUCUAGUGCAGUCACUGCACAAGGAAGAGCUAAGCAAUCUUGUAAGGUUGGUUUUUAAAUCACCCCACAUGUACUUGGCCAUUCUUAUCACUUUCUUGUAUACUGAUCAUAUUAAUGUCUUUUAGGUGGUGGAAAGAAUUAGACUUUGUUACAAAGUUAUCUUUUGCAUGAGACAGAUUGGUUGAAUGCUACUUUUGUAUACAUGGGGUAUAUUUUGAGCCUCAAUACUUACGAGCUAAACGAAUUCUAACCAAAGUAAUUGCUAUGACAUCCAUUCUAGAUGAUAUCUAUGAUGCAUAUGGCACACCUGGUGAACUCAAGCUCUUCACAGAAGCCAUUGAGAGGUUUGCUACUUGCACAUUACCAACCUUGAUUGUGUAUAAUAUAUGUAUUUAUAUAUACCUAAAUCAAGGGUCAUUAUUUUAUUUUCAGGUGGGAUAUUAACAGCAUAGAUCAACUUCCAGAAUACAUGAAACCCUGCUAUGUGGCACUCUUUGAUGUGUACAAAGAAAUCGAGGAAGAGAUGGAGAAAGAAGGAAACCAAUAUAGGGUGCACUAUGCCAAAGAAGUAGUAGGACAUCUUUAACUCUGGAUUCCCACCUUUUGCAUUGAUGAUAUUUUAUAUGGUCUCAUAUAUACAUAGAUAUAACUUGGGUGAAUGUCCAUUAGAUGAAGAAUCAAGUUCGAGGUUACAUGAAGAACACGUACCAACACUUGAAGAGUACAUGUGUGUUGCACUAGUAAGCUUUGGAUACUACAUGCUUGCAACCACAUCCUUGGUGGGAAUGGGAGAAAUAGUAACAAAGGAGGCCUUUGAUUGGGUGACCAGCGAUCCUAAGAUUAUGCCAUCUUCAAAUUUCAUUGCGAGGCUCAUGGAUGACAUCACAUCACAUAAGGUAUGCAGAAUAUGUUAUUCAAGUGGGGAGAAUAUAACACACCGGUUUUUUUUUUUCUCAACUUUUGCAUUAUACAUGCAGUUUGAGCAAAAGAGAAGGCAUGUGGCCUCAGCCAUUGAAUGUUACAUGAAGUAAUAUGGUGUCUCUGAGGAACAAGUAUACAGCGAGCUUCAAAAUCAAAUUGAGAAUGCAUGGUUGGAUGUCAACCAGGAAUGCCUCAAACCUACUACUAUUCCAAUGCCUCUCCUUGCUCCUAUUCUAAAUCUUACACGAGUCUCGGAUGUCAUUUACAAAGAGCAAGAUGCGUACACACAUGUUGGGAAAGUGAUGAAGAAUAACAUUGCGUACACACAUGUAGUUGAUUAUCGUCCCCUAUGUAUUGCCUUGUGGAAGAAGUAAUAUCUAAUAAAUCAUUAUAAUAAGGUGAGGGAACAAUACGUAAUAAAUCAUUGUAAUAUGGAAAGGGGGACACAUCAUAUGUAGCACCUAGUUUCUCUGGGUUCAUAGUGUUUUACUUUUGAAUAUUCCCUGAAUAUUUAAAUAAGAAUAUGUAUUACUUAAAUCACCUGAAUAUAUUAUUUAUUAUAUUAUAUUCUUUAAUACAUAUGUAUUAUUGUGAUUCAACUUGAGGAGUAUUGAUACUGAGUCUUAAAAUACAUAUGUAUGUAGAAUAUAUGUCUACAAAAAAUCCGGAUCUCCUUGUUAAUGUGUAAUGGUGUUUUGGAGUACUACAAUACUCACCAAAUAACUUCUUUACACUUUAUAAUGGACACUGACUGGUGAGUUUAUAGUUAAUUAAAGAUUUCACUCGAUAGCAAAUUAUUAUUAUUAUUAUUAUUAUUGUUAUUGUUGUUGCUAGCGUUAUUAUUAUUUAAUUCAUUAUUAUGAAAAUUAUUAUUAUUAUUACUAUUUAAUUAUUAUUAUUAUUAGCUAUUAAUUUUAGUUUUUUCUUUUUCAUCUUUUCUUUUUUGUUGUUUGUUAUAUACUUCAUAAAAUUAUAAGUUAUGGUCUUUUAUUAGGUUGAAAUUGGAAGUUCAAGUUCAUUAAAGUAUGACACAGUUAACUUAGGUUCACUAAUUUUGUAAAAAAUUUGAUGCAUUUAUAGGAUAAUUAAAUAAUUCAACAAACUUAUCAUUUUACUAAUUAAGGUUUUUUAUUUUAUUUUAUUUUUUAAAAAACUUUUUUACAUGUAAGAAUACAGAAAUUAUGGUUCAAUGUGAAACUUUGGAAUUGCAUGAAUAUGAAAGUGAAAUUUGUUGGUGUCGUUCCCAACUAGAGUUAGGUUCAUCCAACUUCACUGGAGUCAGGUGGACUGCUUCCUUUCUCCAACUCGUGAACUUAGCCGAUACUAAGUUAUGUGAUAACACCCAAUUUUUCCGUUCGUGCUUCUUGAGAAGUCCGUCCAGUUGUAUUGGAAUCAGACAGACUUCUUCCAUGCACAAAAGGAUGUCCAGACAGGUGAUUCGAGCACGUCCCUCCUAAACUUAAGUCAGUUAAGGAUAGUUCUAACUUAUUUUUGUGGCAGAAAAUGAGUUUAUGUGCAUGCCUACCUUGUUCAUGCUUUUUGAGGGGUUUAUAUAGAGUUGAUGAUACUGUCCCUAUAGUGCUGACUAUACACUCUAGUCUUUCUUGUAAUGAUGAUUGCCCUUAGGGCGGUUGAUUGGUGCCAUCUAUUGACGUGCCAAAAUCUCGGACCAGCAACCGAUUGUCCAUUUAGCUUGCCAAUGUCUGGGAUUGUGUGUAACAAUUAAUUGACAUUGACUUUUGGGUGUAAAUGGAGUCCUGUCCACUGCUUAGAUGUCAGGCGUCUAAUCCACUGCUCAAAUGUCCUGUGUCUGGGCCAACGCUCAGACAUCAAGCAUAGUUGAUCAUGCAUGCCAGAAAUCCUGAGGACUUGAUUAGACUGAUUUUUUCGUCUGAGAGUCCAACGAGCCUAGCCUAUCGAUUCCGUUCAACCUUGUGGAAGAAGAGAAACCUCUCACUUCUUGUGUCAGACAUAACUUAUCUUGGUCCAAACGAAUUGAUCCCAGACGGGUUAUAAGUUUGUUCUGGUCGGCCAAGGGGUCUUAAGCUUGAAAAUGACACGUGAAGGGAAACCCCCCACAAUGCCCUUUUAAUCUGUCUACUUCUAUUCAGAUGAAGAGGAGAUGUUUUUGGAGCGUCCAGUUAGUUUCCUAUCUGAACAGGAAUUCUGGGAUCGUUUCCAUAUUCCAGAGAAUAUCCCUAUUCUUCUAAUAGACGACGAGGCGUUAUCCUCCGUUGACCUGCCCAACAACAUGAUGUAUUUUACUAAGGAACAAUUCGUUGCAGGGCUCCGUCUACCUAUCCCCUCUCUCUUCAAGCAGUUUCUUCAUUUUAUGUAAAUCCCUUCAGCUUUUCUUCAUCCGAAUUUUGUCCGGGUAUUGAUGGGAUGUAGUGUUCUAGACAUGCUCUUUCAGUUGAAUCUCUCAUUGUUGGAAGUUUUGCUUGUUUACAUUGUCAAAAUGAGCUGGAAAGAAAGGUUUAGCUUUUCUUCCCAUAUUCCUUACUUGCAGCCAGUGACUGGUCUUUUAGAUUCAUGCAAAGGCUAGGUAAAGGGGCAUGUCCUAGUCUCUGGUCCUUGGAGUGGUUCGUCUGAGGAACCAGAUGGAGUCUUUUAUCCACAACAUUCAUUGGAGAUUCCGAGUAGGAUACGCUUCCAUCACUUUCUCUAUAUUUUGCAAUUAUUUCUUCCUCGCUGUCAAUUUAUUGUUGAUCUUUUUGUUUGUGUGAUAUAGGCAAGGAGAGGUGGGGACGCCUUGUAGAGUGGGUAGACAAGGCUUCUUUCACCUAUUUAACAAGUUGUUCGAAAUAGACGCGUUCAAAUGGGCCCCUAAAGUUCUUUUGUAAGAUAAUAAGUUGCUAACGCUAAUUGAUAAUCCAAAGUCGUUCAUCAUCCCCGUAUUUCCUCGUCUGGCUCCCCCGUCUUUGGUGCCUGGUGAACAUUUCGUGCUAAAGGAUUUGCCAUUCUAUGAGGUUGCUCGUCUGGCAUAUUAUAAGGCAUGUUAGGCCCGUUUAGAGGAGUGAGAGAAAAAACAUCAGGAAGGGACAUUGAGGCAAGCUCUAACUGCUAGUCUUCUAUCCUCCAGUUUUGUUGUCCAUCCUCUCACUAAAAAGAGGACGAAACCUACUGCUUCGCCUAUCUGGAAGGUAAGGACUCUGCCUCCUUCAUCUUUAUCUUCUCCAUCAACUUCAUCAUCUUCGUCAUCUCCAUCUUCUAGUGGCAAGCCAAAAUCAUGGGUUGUCCAGGUAGUGUCCCUUAUUAUUUGCGAGGAGGAAAAAGAAGAGGAUAUGGCUUCAAACUUGAGGGUCGGAUUUCGUGAGAGACAGCGCAAGUGCUUGUCCAAAUCCAUUGUUGUCAAUCCUACCCCCUCUAAGAAAGCUUGUUCAAAACCUACUUCAGCUCUUGCGCUCGUGUCGGUUCCUCUAACUACUGCUACAGUCUUCACCCUUAAGCUAGAUGAGAAACUUCCUUCUGUUGAUGAACAUGUUUAUCAUGAGACGAGGAUACCCUUCAUCAGCACGAACAACUUCAACAAAGAAUCGUUCGAAUACAUGACUUUUUUUUCUCUUUGUUCGAAGUCAACCUAUGUCCCCAAUCGGGAGGAGGUAUCUGAGCUUUUGAAGUGAAUCCCUGUCUUCACCGAAAGAGAGUCCCUGGUACAAAACAUAGGGUACUCUUUCCAGCUACUUAGCAAAUCCCAAUCGAGAUAGACAACGAUCCUAGUCGAUCUUUCAUGACCUGGCUUUUGUAUGACACUCCGAAUAUCGCCAUUUCUCGCAUUAUUCCCAUGCAAGACUAUAAGGCUUUUGAAAUGACAAAUAUGGUAAGUCACCUACCCUUUUCUUCUCAUUUUUCCUUAGCCUCUUGUUUCACAACGAUUUCUUUAUUGCAUCUUCAGGUGAUAGUCGAAGUUUGAAACCUCAUGCGGCAACACACUCCUUUUUUCUACCGAUUGGAAACAAUCGAGACCAUGAGGCCAUACUUUGCCCAUAAUAUGGAUGGGAAUGAGGAUCUUCUUGCCAGCUUGGAGACAAUAAAGAGUGAAGCUGCUGUUGCCCAAAAGCUUGUUAAAGAAGAAAUCGGUCUAUUGAGGAAGGCCGAGGAAGAGAAGGAGACAGUUCAAACUGAAGCUUGCCAACUAGUUGAAAAGAAGGAAACCAUGGUGGUUGACAAAAAAAAAGGCUGAAGAAGAGGCUGCCUAGCUGAGGCAGGAGCUACAGGAUCUCCGAGCAGGGUUUGCCUCUCAGAAAGAAGACUUGGAGGUUCACUACCAAAAGCAAGUGGAUGACAUGUUCUUGUACGACUAUCGUUGUUGUAUGAAGAAGCAUGGCAUCAUCCAUGAUGCUCUGAGUUUUCCUUUGGAUGACGAUGAUGAGUUUUUAGGCGACCCUGCCCAGGGAGGAGGAGAUGUUUUCGGAGACGAUCCUUAUGGCGAGUAGGCUUGAUCUCUUUGUUUGUAUUUAUUUAUUAUGGUUGGACGUGGCCUAGACUGCUAUAUCUAUAAAGACAAUGGAUGCUUUAUUUUUUCAAAUAUAUUUACUUUAUCCGUUUGUCUCUCAUACAUUGUUUUCAUAAGCAAACUUUAUUGAAAGUAAUACUUUAAAUUGGAUACAUUCUAAGAGCAGAGCAGGGGUACGUUGUCUAGUGUUUGAAAAUGGUAUACCCCUAAGUCUCUAGCCUUAGUUACAACAUAUGGCCCUUCCCAGUUAGCUUGAAGCUUUUCGGCUCCUAUUUCAGCUGUGUUCUCAAAUAUUCUUCUGAGGACUAAAGUUCCUAGCCAGAAAAACCAUGGUCGUGUUUUUUUGUUGUAAUGGGUGAUCGUCUUUUGAUGGUAAGAAACCAUUCAGAUAGUUAUGUCUCCUAGCAUUUCAUCUGCCCAAUCCAACUGUCUUAUGAGUUCUUCAUCAUUGUUCCUCUGAUCUUAUACAACUGUUUUAGUGGUAGGCAUGUCAAUUUCAGUUGGAAUAAUGACCUUCAUCCCAUAAGCAAGGGCAAAAGGAGUAGUUCCUAUUGGCCGUUUGGAUGUCGUUUUGUAAGCCCAUAAGAUUCCGAGCAGUUCAUCCACCCAUUUUCCUUUAGCUCCUUCCAGCAUUUUUUUAAUGCAUUCAGUAGGGUUUUGUUUGUCGCCUCAGCUUGCCCGUUACUCUACGGAUAGCAAAGUGUUGAAUACAAAUUCUUGAUGUUUAACUUCAAAUAGAAAGUUCGGAAGACGGUAUUGUAUGAUUGCUCGCAAAACUCCAAAUCGACAUACGAUGUUUUUCUAGACGAACUUGAAGACAUCCUUAUCUUUGAUGCUAGCAUAGUGUCACGGACUUAGUCGUUCACUAAGCUCGUGCGGCACUUAGACAAGCCAAGACGCUUGAUCUUGCUAAGUCAGCCUUGCUCCCAAUACUUAGCUCACCCGGCUAAGACACUCGCGACUCAAAAGCUUAAGAAGCUUGGUAGGCAACUCCUUAAAGAAUGGAAGCUUUCUAUUACUCAAAGAAGCCUUUACAAGUGCUUGGAUGCUCACUUGCUUGGUUAGGAAGUGAUUUUGGGUGGUGCCUUGGCCAAAUGAGGCCCUCACCUAUUUAUAGGCACCAAGGGAACUCUCUAGAACCUUGGAGGGUUCCCUUACAAAUCAAGAAUAUUCUAGAACAUCCUACCCUAUUCUAUGUACAACCCUAUGUACAAGAAUAUACAAGAGAUUCCUAGAAGUCUCUAGAAAGCCUUGGACUCCUCCCAUGCCUUCCACCAUAGUGUAGAGAUGUGUGGACAUCUCUAGGCAUUUCUAGAACCUUCCACACUCUUCCCACCAAUGACUUNNNNNNNNNNNNNNNNNNNNNNNNNNNNNNNNNNNNNNNNNNNNNNNNNNNNNNNNNNNNNNNNNNNNNNNNNNNNNNNNNNNNNNNNNNNNNNNNNNNNNNNNNNNNNNNNNNNNNNNNNNNNNNNNNNNNNNNNNNNNNNNNNNNNNNNNNNNNNNNNNNNNNNNNNNNNNNNNNNNNNNNNNNNNNNNNNNNNNNNNNNNNNNNNNNNNNNNNNNNNNNNNNNNNNNNNNNNNNNNNNNNNNNNNNNNNNNNNNNNNNNNNNNNNNNNNNNNNNNNNNNNNNNNNNNNNNNNNNNNNNNNNNNNNNNNNNNNNNNNNNNNNNNNNNNNNNNNNNNNNNNNNNNNNNNNNNNNNNNNNNNNNNNNNNNNNNNNNNNNNNNNNNNNNNNNNNNNNNNNNNNNNNNNNNNNNNNNNNNNNNNNNNNNNNNNNNNNNNNNNNNNNNNNNNNNNNNNNNNNNNNNNNNNNNNNNNNNNNNNNNNNNNNNNNNNNNNNNNNNNNNNNNNNNNNNNNNNNNNNNNNNNNNNNNNNNNNNNNNNNNNNNNNNNNNNNNNNNNNNNNNNNNNNNNNNNNNNNNNNNNNNNNNNNNNNNNNNNNNNNNNNNNNNNNNNNNNNNNNNNNNNNNNNNNNNNNNNNNNNNNNNNNNNNNNNNNNNNNNNNNNNNNNNNNNNNNNNNNNNNNNNNNNNNNNNNNNNNNNNNNNNNNNNNNNNNNNNNNNNNNNNNNNNNNNNNNNNNNNNNNNNNNNNNNNNNNNNNNNNNNNNNNNNNNNNNNNNNNNNNNNNNNNNNNNNNNNNNNNNNNNNNNNNNNNNNNNNNNNNNNNNNNNNNNNNNNNNNNNNNNNNNNNNNNNNNNNNNNNNNNNNNNNNNNNNNNNNNNNNNNNNNNNNNNNNNNNNNNNNNNNNNNNNNNNNNNNNNNNNNNNNNNNNNNNNNNNNNNNNNNNNNNNNNNNNNNNNNNNNNNNNNNNNNNNNNNNNNNNNNNNNNNNNNNNNNNNNNNNNNNNNNNNNNNNNNNNNNNNNNNNNNNNNNNNNNNNNNNNAGCCGCCUCAUCCGUCAAUGCGAUAGCCUCAAAGUAUCGCUCCAUAUGCCAUAAGAAGUUAUCCAACUCCUUGGCAUCCCGAUUGCCACUAAACCUAUGUGGCUUCGGCACCUCCACCCUAGAUGCCUCUUGUGUGGCCAUGACCCGUGCCGACACAGCAGCCUUGUAGAUGGCCAACUCCUGCCUAACUUCCUGGUCUCGGGACUCCAUUCGAGUGGCCAAGGCCUCUAUCCUUGACUCCAUGCUAGCAAGCAUGCUCAAGACCUUUCCUUGGAAGGACACAAACUCCUCGUGCGACACUGGUUGAACCUGUGAGAUUAGCACCCCCUCGCGAAGGUCUUGGAUCUGCUCCCUUAGAUCCUCUAAGCCCUUCUCCAUGCCUUGCUCGAUCAAGUCCAACCCUUCCCGAGUGUCCGCCAUGGCUAGCUCCACCUUCGCUAACCUUGCCUCCAUGUUGGCAACGGCAUCACGAGAUUUAUCCUUCCUGCCCCUGCCCCGUGCAGUAGGCUCGGUCUCUCUCCCACGGGUUUGCUCACUAGUCUCCUCCACGUUAGAGCCCGACAUGCUUCCUUUGCUAUGCCCACCUCGUAACCGCGCUCUGAUACCACUUGUCACGGACUUAGUCGUUCACUAAGCUCGUGCGGCACUUAGACAAGCCAAGACGCUUGAUCUUGCUAAGUCAGCCUUGCUCCCAAUACUUAGCUCACCCGGCUAAGACACUCGCGACUCAAAAGCUUAAGAAGCUUGGUAGGCAACUCCUUAAAGAAUGGAAGCUUUCUAUUACUCAAAGAAGCCUUUACAAGUGCUUGGAUGCUCACUUGCUUGGUUAGGAAGUGAUUUUGGGUGGUGCCUUGGCCAAAUGAGGCCCUCACCUAUUUAUAGGCACCAAGGGAACUCUCUAGAACCUUGGAGGGUUCCCUUACAAAUCAAGAAUAUUCUAGAACAUCCUACCCUAUUCUAUGUACAACCCUAUGUACAAGAAUAUACAAGAGAUUCCUAGAAGUCUCUAGAAAGCCUUGGACUCCUCCCAUGCCUUCCACCAUAGUGUAGAGAUGUGUGGACAUCUCUAGGCAUUUCUAGAACCUUCCACACUCUUCCCACCAAUGACUUAGUGUAGAUGGCUCCAGGAGUCUCCAGAAGCUUCCCUCCUUCUAUAUAAGCCCAUGGGGAGGGUCAUUUGAAGCAUCCUGUGACAAUAGGCUUCUGUUUCCACCCACUUGCUAAAAUAGUCAGUUGCAACGAGUAAAACUUUUUUUGAGCUAUUGCAACAAGUAAGGGACAAAUUAUGUCGAUCCCCCACUGCGCAAACAACCAAGGGCUUGUGACCAGACUGAGAGCUUCAGAAUGUACACGGGAAAUGGGAGCAUGUCUUUGACACCAGUCACAUCUCUUAAAAUAGUUUUCAGUGUUUUGUUUCAUGGUGGGCCAAUAGUACCCUUGCAUGUAAGCACGAUGUGCCAAGGUUCGUUCGCCUGUAUGAUUUCUAUAUACGCUUUCAUAGAGUUCGGCCAGGACAUACUUGGCUUCUGGCUUGCUCAAACACCUUAGGUAUGGUUCUCUAAAUGAUCAUCUAUAAAGCAGGUCAUUGAUUAAAGUGAAGCGAGAUGUUUGCACGCAGAGUCUGUGCAAUUGCUUCCAAUCUUCUAGUAAUUCUCUCGUCUAAAGGUAUUUUACAAUGUCAUGCAUCCAGCCAAGGUUUGCUUCAUUGGUACUGCACACUAGUUCGGGUGUGGCCUGAAGGUAGAUAGACAACAUCAUUGCCUCUUUUAUAAGGAGAGUGGCAACUAUUCCGGCCAAUGCAUCCGCCUUCAUGUUCUCCUUUCGGGGUACCAGUCUAACAAUCCACUCAUCUAGAUUUUUCAAGUGAUCUUCCACCAUGGCGAGGUAGCGAGCCAUGCGUUCGUCCAUUACUUCAUACUCUCGUUGAAUUUUCCCAACAAUUAGUUAAAAGUCGCUUCUGAUUUUCAAGUUUGUUGCAGCCAGUGUUAAGGCAAGAUCUAGCCUAACUAGGACAAAUUCAUAUCCUACUUUCGUACAAUCUCUCACAAAAUUCAUACACUCUCUCACAAAGUUCCUACCAUCUCUCACAAAGUUCGUACCCUCUCUCACAAAGUUCAUACCACAUCUCACAAAAUUCGUACACUUUCUCACAAAGUUCAUACUAUUUCUCACAAAGUUGGUACCUCUUCUCACAAAGUUCAUACCCUCUAUCACAAAGUUCAUACACUCUCUCACAAAGUUCGUACCAUGUCUCACAAAGUUCGUACAAUCUCUCACAAAGUUCAUACCUCAUCUCACAAAGUCCGUACCACAUCUCACAAUGUUCGUACCCCCUCUCAUAAAGUCCAUACCCCUUCUCACAAGUUCAUACCCCUUCUCACAAAGUUCGUACCCCCUCUUACAAAGUUCGUACCCCCUCUUACAAAGUUAGUACCACCUCUCAUAAAGUUCAUACCCCCCUCUUACAAAGUUUGUACCCCAUCUCACAAAGUUCUUACCACCUCUCAAAAAGUUCGUACCAUCUCUCACAAAGUACGUACCAUCUCUCACAAAGUAAGUACCAUUUCUCACAAAGUUCGUACACUCUCUCACAAAGUUCAUACCCUCUCUCACAAAGUUCGUACCAUCUCUCACAAAGUUUGUACCCCCUCUGAAAAAGUUCGUACCCUCUCUCACAAAGUUCGUACUAUUCCUCACAAAGUUCAUAUCAUCUCUCACAAAGUUCGUACCAUCUCUCACAAAGUUCGUACCCCCUCUAACAAAGUUUGUACCCCCUCUCACAGAAUUUGUACUCUCUCUCACAAAGGUCAUACCCUCUCUCACAAUGUUUGUACCCCUUCUCACAUUGUUUGUAUCAUCUAUCACAAUUUUCGUACCCCCUCUCACAUUGUUCGUACCCCUUCUCACAGUGUUUUCCUUCAAGAUAUAUAAAACUUCAUCUUCAAAUUUAAUCUACAAAUAAACAAAAUAAUAAUAUAAAAAUAUUAAUGACAAUUUAAUAAUAAAUGACUAAAUUGUCUCAAUUUGAUUAAUAAUAACUCAUAAAAAAAAAUUCAAAAAUCUAAAUGUUAUAAAGCAUUACAUAUUGUUCAUACCCUUUCUCACAAUGUUUGUACCCCCUCUCACAUUGUUCGUACCCCUUCUCACAUUGUUUUCCUUCUUCAAGAUAUAUAAAACUUCAUCUUCAAAUUUAAUCUAUAAAUAAACAAAAUAAUAAUGUAAAAAUAUUAAUGACAAUUUCAUAACAAAUGACUAAAUUGUUUCAAUUUGAUUAAUAAUAACUCAUAAAAAAAAUUCAAAAAUCUAAAUGUUGUAAAGCAUUACAUAUUUAAAUGUCAUUUAACAUGACAUUUCUACCUACAAAAUUUAUAUUUAAAUAAAAAAUAUCAAAUAUUACCUUUGACACUUGUAAUCACUUGAAAUCUUUCAUCUUUUUCAUAUAAUAGAAAUUUUAAAUUUUCUCCCUCAAAAAGUUUCAAACUUGAUCUUCAAAUUUGAUUUAUCAAAACACAUCUCACAUAUUUUAUAAUAUGGUAGUUGAAACUAUUUAAUUUUUAUAUUAAAUUAGUAUCCCUUUUUGUAAAUAUGAAUAAUGAGAGUAUAAGGAUAGUUGUUAGAAUUUUCUUUUUUUAGAUAGAAUUAGGUAACAUUAAAUAAUAAAUUAUAUUUGAUAUUUAAUAAUAAAUUAUAAAAAAAUUGUAAUAUUUAGAUAUGUAUGAAUUGCAUGUAAUUAUUUCUCACAAGCAAGCCAUCUUUAUCGGUUUAAUAAGUUUUUAAUUUUUUUUUUUAAGUGGGUAGGUACCCAAAAUAAAGAGUGGGUACCAAAGAACGAUAUAUAUUUUGUCUAUAUUCUGUAAGUGACUGAAUGAUAGAUGCCUGUUGGUGAAAGAGAUGCCUGUACGUCGGCUUAAGAGAUGUUCUUUAUAUCAAACAAUAUAUAUUUAUCUAUAUUCUGUAAGGGGCUGAAUGAUAAGAUGCCUGUUGGUCAAAGAGAUGCCUGUACGUUUGUCUCAAAGAUGCUUGUUUAUAUCUAAGAAACAAAAGAUUCACAUAAAAAAAAAAAAUGAUGCUUAGAUUAUAAUAUUGAUCCUUGUUCUAUUUGGUUUAAGAGAAUAGUUUGACAUACAUGCAUAAGGUAAUUAAUAAAUUCCUGGUCAAGUGUCACGUUCAAACAAAUUCCUGGUCAAGUGUCACGUUCAAACAAGAAGAUUAAUUAAUAAAAAAGGUCAUUUCAAGGAGUAAAAAAAUUAUGAAAAAUAUAUCAGUUUUAACCACUAAUAUUAAUUAUUAGCAAAAGUCACUUUGAACCAUAAAAAAAUAAAAAAUAAAAAAAAUUAAUAACAAAAUAUCACGUUGAACCACAAAUAUUAACUCACAGCAAAAGGUCACCCUACGCCAUACCUACUAACAGAAACAUGUUCAUUAGUUAACAUGUACACCAAACCACCAAGAGAGACAACACCUCAUAAAACAGUUUUUAAGACCAAAUUUUAAGAACAGUUUUUUAUGUUUUUAGAAACAUAAUUGUGUUUGGGAAUUGAAUUUUGAAAAAUACUUUUUAUUUUCAAAAACAAAAAAAAAACAUGUUUAGUUGAGUUAAUAAAAAAAGUUUUUAGAACAAGUAAAACAAAAAAAUAUAUUUGAAAGUUGCUUUUUUUUUUAAUUGAGAAUUUUCUUUAAUUAACUUGAUAUUGUAAUUAUAUACAUAAUUUUUAGAUUUACAUUUCAUUUAAAUUAAAAACUAUUAUAUUAUGAUAUUUAUUUGCAUGAGUUAUAAUUUUUUCAACAAAGGAUUACUUUACCUAAUUGAUGAAGGGUAAUAAAGGGACUCAUAAAUCUGCUCAUCUACAUCAUUUAUUUCAUCUAAUGAAAAGGUAUCAACAACCAUUGAUAUAAUCUACUAGCUAAAACAAAAAUGUAACAACAGCAACAAUUCAAGUAUUGGUACAUUUCAGAUCACUACAAAUUAAAAGACCUUUUGGGUACUUACAGGCGAAGAAUAAAGUGCAAACCAGCAGGAGAUAGACUCAAUAAACGAAUACAACUCAAUGGUGUAUUUAAUACUUAGAUCAGGCCUCCUUCCCCUGGAAGUUGUAAACAUGGAAUGAGCACCUGCAAAUCAAAGCAAGGGAACAGACAAAAACCAUUUUUUGUUACACUACAAGAACUAGACCAAGAGUAGAACCUGUAAAAUCAUAGUAAUCAAACACCAAAGGUCCAAAACCAGUGAUCCAUUUGCUAGAAAAGAGAAAUCAAAUUAAUGAAACACAUAUCACAAUCAUUUUAAAUAGAGCAGAGGUCAUUCAAAACCUAUGAAACUCUAGACGAUGUGUUAAUGAACCAGGAAAUAUUUUAAGAAAUCACACAAAGUGAUCUAUCUUAACCUAGUGUUAAUAUAAAAGAUUCAUAAUCCCAAGAUAGGGAAAAAAACAAAUACGCAGCCGAGAAUCAAACCAAUUAGGUAGAAGACAAAAAAAAAAAAAAACAUUUCAAAUUAAAUAUAUACUCCAAUCCGAAUCUCAAAACCAUAAAUUAUUUUCAUGGAGAAGACAAAGAAAGGAAGAAAAAGACAAUACCUAAAACACUGAGUCUCCUUCUCAUUGAAUCCCCUUGAUGCAAAAGAUGCAAAGGUUAUUCUUAGCUCUUCAUUAGGCAAAGAGAUCCAUAUGUUGCGACAUCUGCAAAAGCCUAACUGUUAUCUCUCUUGCCAAUAUCCAGAGGGUAGAAUAGGCCACCAGCCUAAAAUUCAAAGCUUCAUAACACCAUCAAAUAGCGUACAUACAAGCACAUGAACACAUAGAGAGAGACUUUUUACACGAACAGCACCUUCUCUGGCGGCUAAUACAAGAAUAUCAGCACGUGAGGGUAGGUUGCUUCCAGCUCUUCCUUGAUGGAUUCAAUUAUAUCAAAGCCUUUUAGAGUUUCAUUAGAAAGCGAAUCUUUCUCUGAAUGGAUUCCAAUAUUUUUCUUGCCGUCAGUCUCUUCCGUGCACAACCCUUUCAAAUCAUGGGCCCCAAAAACAAACCAAAUUCCACAUACUUUUCAACUAAAUACAACCAUGAAUGCCAGUGCUGCCCUAUAAAUAAUAUGGAGCUUGCCAAGCUAUUUCUCUCAUACCUACCAAUUCAUCAUUCAAGGUAUAGUACUGUUCUAUCAUUGUUCCAAGGAAUUAACAUGUCUACUCAAGUCUCAGCAUCUUCUCUAGCCCAGAUUCCCAAACCUAAAAAUCGUCCUGUGGCAAACUAUCACCCCAACAUUUGGGGUGACCAGUUUAUCUCCUACAUUCCUGAAGACAAGGUAAUUGAAUGAAAAUAUGCAUCAAGUUUAAUGGCUUACAUACUUAUUUGGCAGUUAUUUUUCUUAAUGUGUUGGAUGAAAAAAAAUUUUGGUCCAGGUUACACGUGCCUGCAAAGAGGAGCAGUUUGUGGAUCUGAAAAAGGAAGUGAAAAGGAAAUUAACGGCUGCUGCUGUUGCUAACCCUUCCCAAUUGCUGAACUUCAUUGAUGCAGUGCAACGUCUUGGGGUGGCAUACCACUUUGAGCAAGAGAUAGAAGAAGCAUUGCAACAUAUUUGUAACAGUUUUCAUGACUGCAAUGAUAUGGAUGGUGAUCUCUACAAUAUUGCUCUUGGAUUUCGACUACUAAGGCAACAAGGGUACAGUAUUUCAUGUGGUAAGAGACUAAGAAAAAAAUGUUAUGUUCAACCUUCUUAUCAUUUAAAUCUUAUGUUCAAGUGGUGAUGUUUGUGUAGGCAUAUUCAACAAGUUUAUGGAUGAACGAGGUAGAUUCAAGGAAGCUUUGAUCAGCGAUGUAAGAGGCAUGCUAUGCUUGUAUGAAGCUGCACAUCUGAGGGUUCAUGGAGAGGACAUAAUUGCAAAAGCACUUGCUUUCACCACCACUCACCUCAAGGCCAUGGUAGAAAGUUUAGGAUACCAUCUUGCAGAACAAGUUGCUCAUGCCCUGAACCGGCCCAUUAGAAAAGGUUUGGAGAGGCUAGAGGCAAGAUGGUAUAUAUCUGUCUACCAAGAUGAAGCUUUCCAUGAUAAAACUUUACUAGAGCUAGCAAAAUUAGAUUUCAAUCUAGUGCAGUCACUGCACAAGGAAGAGCUAAGCAAAUCUUGCAAGGUUGGUUUUUAGAUCACCCCACAUGUACUUGGCCAUUCUUAUCACUUUCCUGUAUGCUGAUCAUAUUAAUGUCUUUUAGGUGGUGGAAAGAAUUAGACUUUGCUACAAAGUUACCUUUUGCACGAGACAGAUUGGUUGAAUGCUACUUUUGGAUACUUGGGGUGUAUUUUGAGCCUCAAUACUUACGGGGUAGACGAAUUCUAACCAAAGUAAUUGCCAUGACAUCCAUUCUAGAUGAUAUCCAUGAUGCAUAUGGCACACCUGAAGAACUCAAGCUCUUCA